rnacentral:lncRNA from 1 species
CGGUAAGCAUCCUCUUGUCUUGCUGGAACUAUGAAUGUCUGUUUUAUAUUAGAUCUGUCUGUGAAAUUCUCUAAAUAUGAAGCAAAGAUGAUGGAAAUUGAAAAUAGCAUGUCUUAAUUUAUAUUUUCAUAUUGUUCUAAUUUGUUGUCUUAGAAUUUUUUAUUAUUAAAUGCCUUUCUUCUCUUUUCAGCCUCUUGAUGGCUUGUUGGGAACCCAAGCUACAACUCCUUCAGGAUCUUCUAUUCCUACAUCUCAGUCCGUGGCACCACCUGCACCUCAUGUUCCUGCACCUCAUGUUCCUGCACCUCAUGUUCCUGCUCCUCAUGUUCCUGCAUCUCAUGUUCCUGCACCUCAUGUUCCUGCAUCUCAUGUUCCUGCACCUCAUGUUCCUGCACCUCAUGUUCCUUAUAGCUCUUCGGGUAAACAAUCAGUCCCCUGCAUUUUCUUCCAGAAGGGACUGUGCUUAAAAGGUGACAGAUGUGCCUUUUUGCACGGACCAAAUCCUACUGGUAACAAAAUCCCACAAGCGCCAGCAGCUACUCCUGGCACUGAGCCUCCGUCUCUUAAGAAGGUGUUUGGUGGCCUUGAAAAGUGUACUCAAGAGCAGAGGGUUCUGCAGCCAAACUUCUCAAAGUCGUUUGAAGUGCCUCGUCCAGCAAAACCAGCUACAAAAACUGAAACUGCUCCACCAAAACACGCAGUUAGCAUUGACAAAACUGCAGUGCCACCUGCAGGCUUGCGUGAUGAGCUACCUAGGUACAAAGCAACUGAUGUGCCUCCUGCCAGCAAUGGAAACAGUGCGAAUAGGUCCAAUCGGAUGCAUCAGUCUGAUGUAUCAGAUGAUCACAGUUUUCAGAAUGGUGGUAAGGAUGUUGAUGAGUUUUAUAGAGAGUCCUCUCCUGGUUUUGAUGUCCUUGUUGAUGAUGAUCUCAGAGAUUCUGAUUACUAUCAUGAUGAAGAUCAGUUUGGAGGUGAUGGAAGGAAUUUGAAUUCUAUGAAUGAAUUUGACAUUGGCCGAUCUUCUGAUUACAAUUCAAUGGCUGAUAUGGACCGAGAAAUGUUCCGUGAUCCACAUGGCUAUGACUCCUAUGAGCACAUGCAUGGGCAGUAUCCUUGGGAUCAUCGCAGGUCUUCAUCAGAGAGGAUGCUAGUGGGGGCAGCUCCUCUGGAAAGGAGGGGUUACCGUAAAUCUGAGAGCCCUGAUCAAAUCAAUGAAUCAGAUUUGCGACAUCGCUUAUCAAAGCACAGGAGAGUUAAUGGUUUAAGAUCAGUUGUUAGUCAUGACUAUGACCUAGACAAUCAUGCUGAAGAGAGGAGUCAUCGUGGUCCGUCUCGAAGGGAUUCACACCAUGUACCUACACAUGAGAGCUCCCUUAGCAGUCGCCUUCGGGGCAGAAUAAAGCUUCCCAGGAGAUCUUCUCCUGUCAAUGGUAGUGACUUGCGUGUUGAAAAGGAUCUGGACAGGGGAAGGAACUGGGGCAGAUUGUCACCUGGAAGGCAACAAAUUUCCUCCCAGCAGGGAAGGCUUCGAGACAGAAUAAGAGGAAGGGUUCAAGAGGAUUCCAUUACUGAUGCAAGAAAUUCUUGGAACCAGCGCAUCAGAAGGGAUAUAGUGGAUGAUGGCGUUGCUGAUUUUGCUGGUCCAAAGAGCCUUGCAGAGCUGAAAGUUGUGAAGAAUACGGAGAGCAAGGAGCAGCGAAUGAAGGUUCAACAAUCAUUGUCCCUUGGAAGGCAGAGAAACUUAAAGAUAGAGGGUCAGCAACAAUCUGAAGAUGACCUAUCGUUUGAAGGGCCGAAGCCUCUUAGUGUGAUUCUGAAGAGAAAAAGGGGAGCUGAAACAGCAGUUUCUGGGAGUGGAAUGGUGCAUGGAAAUAAAGAAGAAAAUGAUCCAGAAGGCAAGGAUGGUUUCAUGAGCAGCUCCAAGACUACAGAAGUUGAUGUAGUUGGAAGUGUAGAAGAUGGUUUGAUCCUAACAGAAAAAGAUCAAGCAGCUGAUAAUGAGUCUUCUCAAGUGCCCAGCAUGAAUGAGCUUGAAACUGAAGAUGGGGUGAUUGGUGAUGGAGUAACAGAAGAUCAAGAUCAUGAGCUUGAAGGCUUUGAUCAAAGGGAUGGAGAUGGAGAUGGAGACGGAGAGUAUGAAUAUGAGCAGGGUGACGAGGCAGAGUAUAAUUUAGAAGAGGGUGAAAAUGUGGACCCUGAAGAGGAAUACAUGGAUGAUGAAGAUGGGGAUGACUUUGCUAAGAAGAUUGGGGUCAUGUUCUCGUAAAUUGAGAGAGAGAAGCAAAUACAGGAGUGACUGCUCUCCUUGCUAUGAUCCUGCCUUGUGUGGAGGAACUCCUAAGCUUUUAUUUAGGUUGGUUGAUUCUGAAUUGGCAUUGUGGCUGCUACAUUUUCUUGGUAGAAGUAGGGAUGUUAAGCUUUUUCCUUUGUAUUAAUUGAAGCCCUUUUUCCAUGUAUCUAAACUGAUUGAAUGGUAAAAUUUUCUUUAUGCCUCAGGCAUUUUGCCAUGUCCCGCUCCAGUUGAAAUUUGGUUGCAAGGCCCAUGACUGUAACAGUUAGAAAGUUAAUAAGAAAGUUUGAAAUUCUCUUCUUCAGUUGUUGCUCUAAACAGUUUCUUUGCUUCAACUUUCUACCAGAUUUGCCAAAUUCUCCAAAUUCUUCCUAUUUGUAUUGGAGAUUUAUUUAUCUCUUUGUUAAUUGUUAAUGGGGGGGUGGGGGGGGGGGNNNNNNNNNNNNNNNNNNNNNNNNNNNNNNNNNNNNNNNNNNNNNNNNNNNNNNNNNNNNNNNNNNNNNNNNNNNNNNNNNNNNNNNNNNNNNNNNNNNNUUUUUUUUUUUUUUUAAUUUUUAAGGGGGGGGGGGGGGGGGGGGGGUCUAUGAGCAUCUCUCCUCUUGUAAGAUUUUGGAGAAGACAGUAGCUAGUGUGAACAAACUAAAACAUACCUCAAUGCCCACCCAUCAUCUUGGUUAAGUUCCAUAUGCGUUCCUUCCUCUUGUACAAGCCAAGAUUCUACUAUUACAGGGAAGGGAAUAAUUCAUAUAUUUAUCCUACUCCUAACAUAUUGAAGUGUUUCUUUAUGUACAAAUUUUCUUUAUAUACAAAUUAUAACGGUUAAUUUUACUCACAUUCACUAAGAUUUAAGCUAAAUACAUUUAGUUAUCAUUAGGUUUAAAAUUUCAUCAAAUACCUCAUUUAUUUCAAAGAAAAGGAAGGUAAGUAAAAAUAAUAAAUAAAAUUUUAAACUAAUGAUGAUUAUAUAUUUAACCAAAACCUUAGGAAAGGUGAGUUAAGUUAAACUCAAAUAAUAAUAAUAGUAAUAACAAUAAUAGUAGUAAUAAAAAUGUCUACCAAAAAUUGGGGUGCCAUCCAAACACAUAAGAGGUUUACCAUGCACAAUAAAUACUCCUUGAACCAUCAAUCAAGCUAAAAAGGAAAUUUCAAGCACAAUUAUUUAAAAUAUAAGAUUGAGGAUUCAUAUUUAAAGAAAAUAAAUAAAUAAAUGGAAGUAGUCCAUAAUUUUUAUCUAGUUUAUUAAUGCUAAACCCAAUUUCUUAAAUCAUAAUUUUAGAUUAAUUAAAUUUAUUCAAUUAAUAGUUUUGAUGACUCUCAAAUGCUCCUUUCACAAAUAAUCCAAUCACAAGUAUAAUUUAUAGACUAAUACAUCUUGAUAAUGUUGUUGAAUGUACUUCCCAAACAAUCAUUAACUAUUGUAUGUUAGUAAAGAUAAGAUAUGGAACAUCUUGUAGCUCACACUCACACCUAGAAUGACUUGGUAGAUUCCCUUAUCAAACACUUCUUAUUAAUUAUUCAAACCUUACAAAUGAAUAUACAUUACCUACUUUUGUUUAUGAACAUGCUAUUAUGUAUGUUGCGGUUUUAAUUUACAUUUGAACUAUUCUUUAUGAUGAAUACUGCAUUUUACAACUUGUACUUGGUAAACAAUAAAAUAUUUUCCACUUAUGAAUUUUUAGUUGUACAUUUUAUGUGCCAAUUGCACCCAUACAAAGCAGUAAAACGAUUUUUGAAUAAGACUUGAGAUUUAUGUGGAACUUGAUUUUUUAUCUGUCAUAAAAUAUCUUGAAACCUUAACAAGUGAAGUUUUUAGGGCAUGCUUUGAAAAUUGUCGUUUCUCUAUCAUUCAUUUACAAAAUUUUGCAAACCAAUUAUCACAUGUAUUUGCUAAUUUAAAAAAAAGAGUCGCAUAUCUUUGCUACAAAUAUAGUACAAACUUGUGUUUUUACCAAAAUGCUUUUAUGCACACAUAUGAACUAAAAACCCAAAUCCUCAAAUAAAAUGUGUCAUCAUAAAGUAGCUCAAGUGGAAACCAUUGAAACCCAUAGGAAAAUAUUGGCUUCCUUAGAAUUCAAUUCUGAAAUUGACUUAAUAGUACUCCACUAAAGAGAGUUAGUUGCACUCUAGUAUCUUAUGCAAUUACAAUAAGGCAAAUGUUAGGCCUGUAACCUACUAUCCACUACAAGGUAAUGUUUGCAAACCUUCAAAAAAACUAGUGUUUGUAAUCUAACAAGGUAGUGUCAUCAACCUAUAAAGAUUACCUUUCCAAUCACUGGGUUCCAAAUCCUCUUAUUAUGUAAUCAAUUGACAUAUUCUACUUCCAAGUAGCAUAUGUCAAUUUUCACUAAAGGAAUUGUGUUGGUAGAUUGGAACGUUGGUCACGUCCAUCAGCUCCCCUUGUGUUUGAAUGUUAUAAGCGCUUGGGUGAAUGCACUAUAAGGUUAGGGCAUGUGCCUUUCCGGAUAGCAAUUGCUUUUAAGAGAGUCAAUAGCGCCUGAGGUCCUACAAGUUGUUAUGGCCAUAAUCCUCCUAAUUACAUGUCUUUGGACACACUCUUUCAAUCCCAUAAGAUAUCAUGGUGCCUCUAUUGAGAAUACUGUUAACAUAGAGCUUUUAAAAAUAUGACAUGAUGUAAUAAACUUUUGAAUUUUAUUAUUUAUUAAUAAAUUUCAAGUUCAUUUUUAUUUAUGCUAUUUCCAUGCAUUAUACUUUGUAAGCCUUCUAACUUACACCUCUUGUAUUGUAUGUGAUUUGGGUGUAUUAGGAGUUGCAUAGAAGAUCCAAGUCACGAAUUCCUUGAAAGUGGAUGACUUGUUCACCACUAGUUCAUGAGCCUAGACAACCCAUUAGAGGUUGUAGUACACUACUUCCUAAUUGGAGGGAUAACUGGUCUUGGUCAUUAGGAUGAGUUUCCCAUGGUGAAUACACUAAUAUGUAUGGUUACAUAUUGGAUAUGACCUACAAUGAGUCGUGACAUAAGUCUAUCAAGUUGUUAUGACUUCACUAAGUCGCUUCAUUGUGUUGUCUCUCAACCUUGAGAGAAUAUCGAACUUGUGCUAAAGUUAGUGGUGACUUUGACCUACAAGUGAGAUCAUAAGUUGAUCAUAUAUUCCUUAUUGAUUAGGUCAAUGUUGAUGAAAGCUAGUAGCAAUAGGUAUUUUCAAUAGAGGUACUAUGAUAUCUUAUAGGAUUGAGACAAAGUAUCCUCUUGAGUGAUCCUAAGAAAGUGCAUUCAUGUAAACUAUGACCAUUAUAGCUCCUUAAGUGGAUAUUGACAUAACUUCUUGGAGAGUUAAGAUAUGUCAAUUGAACACACAAUAGAAUGAUUUGUAACUUAAGGAUAGUAAAUGUAGUCUUGAGAGGCUGAUAACCUUUACUUUGUUAGACUACGAACACUAGUUCAUGGAAAGACUGAACGCAAUGGAUAUUAAGUCACUGAUUUGAGCACUUGGUGUCUAGUUGUUAUUUACAUAUGGUACUAGAGUGCAGUUAAUUCUUUAUCAUAGGAUGUUAAAUUAACUUCAAAAUUAGAUUGUGAGGAAGCUAGUAUUGUUUUAUGGGUCCUAGUGGUCCUUGUUCGAACUCAUAUACCUUGUUAACACGGUUUAUGAGGGUUGGAUUGACUCUUGGUUCACUUUUACACAUAAUGGAAUUUUAAUAAUUAUGUAAGAUUAUAUAAGGGUUAGUGAAAAAAUUCUUUGGAUUGAACUAAUCGAUUAAUUAGAAGGCCUUAUAGGGUUAAUUAAUCAAUUAGGACCCAUUUCAGGCUAGAUUAAGUAACCCAAGCCCUUGGUGGACUCAAGUUACUUAAACCUAGUUAGAGAACCCUAUAAAUAUCUCCUUAGGGGUUAAGGUUUUAAGGUUAGUUAUCUUUCACCACCUAGAAAGAAGAGAGAGACCUAGCCUCCACUUUCCCUAACUUUACCAUCGAUUGAGUGCCAAGUGCAAGGUUGAGUCAUCAUGACGAAAAAUUAUGGCUUUAUGAGUAGAUUCUUCUCAAAUGGAAUUGAUUUGGGAACAUCCAAAUCAAAGGUGAGCAUGCUAAUCUCAAUAUUUAAAUCCUAUUUUUGUUUUUAUAUGCAUAUUUCCUCUAUGCUUAGGAUUUAGAGAAAGCCCGAGAAGAUUUGCAUAUGCCUAACUUGAUCUAGGUAUAGAGAAUGGAGAGAUCUAGGAUUCAUUACAAAUACCUAUUGCUACCAACCUCUAUCAAUAUUAAUCAAAUCUAUAAGAAUAUAUUACCACCUUAGGGUCUCACCUAUAAGUCAAAACUUCACGAUUGACUUCAACACAAACUCGAUAUUCUCUCAAGGUUGAGAGUCUAUGUAGUAUAGUAGCUUGGUGAAUCAUAACAACUACAUCAUGACUUACUGUAGGUCCUAUCUAACGUGUAACCAUAUAAACUAGUGCACUCACCACAAAAAUCUCAUCUUAACAGCCAAGACAAGCCAUCCAUCCAAUUAGGAAGUAGUGUACUAUAGUCUCUAAUGGAUUGCCAAAAUCUAUGGACUGAUUGUGAACUACUUAUCAUUUUGUAAGGAAAUCAUGACUUGAAUCUUUUGUAUAACUCCUAAUGCACCAAAGUCAUGUACAAUGCAAGUGAUAUAGACAUGAAUACUUAUAUAACUAAUUAAUGCAUAAGAGAUGAUAAAAAGAAUAAAAACCAUAGACAAAUAAAUUUAUUAAUGAAUCUAACAUGUGUUACAUCAUAUCAUACUUUUCAAGGCUCUAUCCCAACAUUUUCAUUAAUAAGAUUUGAUCUAGGAACAUGCAAAUCACAUGUAUAACACUAUUUUCUCUAGAUAUAAAUUUUAAUGUAUACUAUGCUUCCACUCGUUAGAUUUAAAGAGCUCUAAAAACAAUUUGCAUAUACUUUAACUAAAGAGGAAAAUGGAGAUAUCUAGGUAUUCCUACAUUAAUAAUCUCAAAAAACCUAGAUAUGCGUUUCAUGGAUGUUGUUAAGACAUAUUUAUGUGGAUUUAUAUAUAAUGACAUAUAUAUGAAAAAUUUAGAAGAAUUUAAAUUGUUUGAAACAAAUAAUGCAAAACCUCAUAACAUGUACUUAAUCUUGCUACAACCAUACUUGUAUAGAUCGAAGUAAUCCAAACACAUGUGGUAUAAUUCCUUAGUGAAUACUUAUUAAACGAAGGGUAUGCUAUAUAUAUCCAUGCAUUUUUAUAAAUAAAUAAGAAAUCAAAUUUAAAAUUAUUAUAAUAUAUAUUGAUGACUUAAAUCUUGGGACUCUUAAAGAGCUCACAAAAACAACAAUUUAUUUGAAAAAUGAUUUUGAGAUGAAAAAUCUUGGAAAAACAAAAUUGUUUCAAAUUAUAGAUCAAACAUUUUUCAAAUGAAAUUUUAGUACAUAAAUCAACAUACAUUGAGAAAAUUCUAAAAUGCUUUUACAUGGUCAAAGCAUUGUUGGGAAUUCUAGAUUCCUUAAUUCCUUGGCCUUAGAUCUUGUAGGGUGCAUGCAUUCUAUCCUAAGUGUCUCUAGAUCUAAAGUAGUGAAAAGCUAUGACUUUAUAAACCAAAAAAAAAAAAAAAUACUAUAUCUAAAGCUCAAACCUAUAAUCUUGAUGUUCCUAGAUCGAAUUCCAUCCAACGAAGAUGUCGUGGUCAUUAUAGAACUUGUCUACUCAAUGAUCUUCUACCCAAUCUCUUCCUUCAUGGAUGCUAGGCAUGGGAGAAUGUUAGAAUUAUCUUUUUCCUUGAUGCUAGCUAGUGUUCCUUGUUAGGAUGGACCCUUAAAAUCAUGACAUGAUGUAGAAAAUUCAGAAUUCAUUAUUCAUUUAAUGAUAUUUCAGAUUUACUUUUAUCUAUUUUAUUCCAUGUUUUAUACUCUGAGCAUUCUGGCCUAGUAUCUCUUUCUUACAAGUAGAUGGAUUUUUCACAGUCAAUUUGUGGACUUAAGCAAUCCAUUUGAGGUUGUAGUGCACCACCUCCUAAUUAGAAGGAUGACUAGUCUUGACAAUUGGGACAAGCUUCUUAUGCUGGUGCACUAGUGUGUGUAGUUAUACAUUGGACAAAACUUAUGGUGAGUCAUGAUAUAAGGUUAUCGAAUGGUCAUGACUUCACCAAGUUGUUAUACUAUACUGUCUCUCAACCUUGAGAGAAUAUUAUGUUUGUAUAGAAGUUGAUAGUGGCUUUGACCUACGAGUGAGAUUGUAAGUUGAUCUAUAUUCUUUGUGGAUUGGGUUACUACUGAUGGAAACUAGUAGCAACAAGUAUUCUUAAUGGAGACAUUAUGAUAUCUCAUGGACUUUGAGACAAUGAGUUCCCUUGGGUGAUCUUAAAGACAUGUAAUCAUAAAAUCUAUGGACUUGCAGUAAUUCUUUUAGUGGAAUUUGAUGUAUGCACUUAGGGACCUAGAGUAUGCCAUUUGAUGACAUACUUGGAGGAUCUGUAACUCAAGGAUGAUAGAGGUAAUCUUGAGAGGUUAAUAGUUUUCACCUUGUUAAAUUAAGGACUUCAGUUCAUGUGGAGACUAUAUACAGUGGAUAGUAGGUCAUAGACCCAAACACUUGGUGUCUCAUUGUAACACACAUAGGGUAUUGUAGUAUAAUUGACUUUCUAUAGUGAGGUGUUGAAUCAACUUUAAAUUUUGACUAUGAAGGAGCCAGAAUUGUCCUAUGGGUCCUAAUGGUCCUUUCUCGAGCUUAUAUUCCUUGAUGGCACAAUUUUCAUGCACCUUAACAAUCUAAAGCUUGGAAAUGGAGUAAUCCAAAAUUCUUCAAUAUUCAUCUCUUUGGAAUUUUAGAAAUCUAAACUAGAAAACUGAAACCCUAACCCCUAAAUAGGUUUAUGUAAGCUUCUUUGUGAGCUUAAGUGACUUGAACCUAAAUUAGGCUUGAUUCACGUAAUCCAACCCAUUUGGGUUCUAAUUAAUUAAUUUGCCUUAAUGGGUUCCAAUUAAUUAAUUAGUUUAUCCCAAAAAGGCCAUUCAUAAAAUCCAAUGCAAUCUCGUGUUUUUACUAAAAUGCCUUUAUGCACACUUAUGAAUUAUAUAACCAAAAUACCCUCAAAGCAUGUGCAACUAUGAACUAGGAGCUUGAGCGAUGACCAAUAGAACCUAUAAGAAAAUACUAACUCCCUUAAAAUCCAAUUCUGAAGUUGACUUAACACUCUGUUAGCCCAAGGGUUCUCUUAAUCGAGUUUUGAUGAUAACAAACCAUGGUUAAAUGACUAAUUGGUUUAAUGGUUAAGAAUAUCAGACAUAAACUCAAAAAUUCAUCAAAGGACUAAAUGGAUACAAGAUCAAGACGUUUGAAAGAGUUGUGAUCAUAAGAAACUAAUGUAAGAUGAAUGCAUGAGUGCACUUAGGAUUUUUAUAUCGUUUCAUGCAACUUAGAAAACUCGGUUUAUUCUUUAAAACUUUGAUUUCAUUAAAACCCGAGUUUUAACAAAUGUACCUUAGGCUAAAUUGUUUUCAAAUUGGCAUAAUAAUUCAUUUAAAAACCUUGCCUAAGUGUUAGAAAAGAAAGGAAUUGAAAAAGAUAGGUUUUCGGGGCCAAAAGACUCAACCGGUCAAGGUUAUGGCCAACCGGCUCAACUGGUUGGGGAACUGGUCGACCGGUUGCCCUUGUCCGGUCGAGGACCGGUCGAGGGAUGCACAAAAUUUUCUCUCUCUCCCAGAAGCCUUCUCUCACUGGUCGAGGUGAUUCUAUUCCCGGUCGAGGCAACGGUAACUUGUCAAGCAUUAAAUGCUCCAACGGCUAGUGAACCUGUCGACCCCUAACUCGAUCGGUCGAGGUUACCUUUUGCUGUUUUUGGCUCCCAAGCUUAGAAACCUAUAAAUUGAGAGCUUCACUUUAUUUAUUAACAAGAGAACACUUGCAAUCAAUUGUCUAUCUACAUGUUCUUGACCAAAAAGCUCUCAUUUCUUUCUUAGUGCAUUAAAUCAUCACUUGCAUAUCCUUUAGUGUACUCUUGUGUGUCAUCCUAGCUUUGUCUUGUAUUUGAGCUAUCCUUAAGCUAGGUUGAGGGAUUCAUUCUUGUAAAAACCGAGUGUUAAAGCCUUCAAGUGGUUUGAAUCUUGAAGAGAUUGUGUAAGAGCCCAUUGGAGUUGGAAUCCAAGUGUAAGAAGAUUGGAAGCUUGGUUGAAGCUUCAAGUUAGUGGAACCUUCACUCGGUUAGGAGAUUGAGGAGAGUGGACGUAGGCAAAAAAGUGCCGAACCACUAUAAAACCCGAGUUUGAAUUCUCUAACUCUAUUUCUUUAUUUUUUUUAUAUUGUGCUUGAACUUGUUGUGAUUGAAAAGAAUUUAAAAAACCCAAUUCACCCCUCCCCCUCUUUUGGGUGUUUUUCUUAAUUAAGCAUAGCCUUUAUUUUCUCAUACUCCACUAAAGAGAGUCAAUUGUAUUAUAUUAUCCUAUGAAAUUACAAUGAGACAGUUCGGGUCUAUGACCUACUAUUCAUUGUAUGUAGAUUCCUAAUGAACUAGUGUCUAUAAUCUAACAAGAUAAUGCUGUUAACUAAUUAAUAUUACCUCUUCAAUCCUUAAGUUACAUAUACUCUUAUUAUGUAAUCAAUUGACAUACUUUAACUCUAAGGAGUAUAUGUUAAAUUUUACUAAAUGAAUUAUUGUGACCAUAUAUUUCAUGAUCACAUGUCCUUUGGAUCACCUAAGUGGACACAUUGUCUCAAUCCCAUGAGAUAUCAGGGUGCCUCUAUUGAUAAUAUCUGUUGUUACCAACUUCCAUCAAUAGUGAUCCAAUUCAUAGGAAUAUAUGACCACUUUAGGGUCUUACCCAUAGGUUAAAGCCUCCUAUUAAUUUCAAUACAAACUCAAUAUCCUCUUAAGGUUGAGAGUCCGUGAAACAUAGGAGCUUGGUGAAUCAUGACUAUCUGAUAGUCUUACGUCAUGAUUCACCGUAAGUCAUGUCCAAUGUGCAAUCAUACAUGCUAGUGCACUCACCAUAGGAACCCUAUCUCGAUGAUCAAGACAAGUCAUCCUUCUAAUUAGGAGGUAGUGCACCAUAAUUUCUAUUAGAUUUCCAAAUCCAUGAAUCGAUUGUGAAUAACUUAUCAUCUUACAAGGAGUGCAUGAUUUAUAUCUCCUAUGCAACUCCUAAUACACCUAAGUCAUGUACAAUGUAAGUGAUAUGAGUCUGAAUGUUCAAGUCAAUAUUAAUGCAUAAAUAAGAUAACAAAUGGACAAUGAAUUCUAACUUUGUUACAUCAUGUCUUGCUUUUAGGGGUUCAAUCCCAACAAACACAUCCUUUAGUCUUUUCAACAAUUUUCUGGUCACUUAAAGUAAAAAAUACUCAUUUUAUCCUUACGAAAAUGACAAAAAUCCACUUGGUCAUGAAGUACCAUACUUAGUGCUAUUGGUGAACUUAUAUAUUUUGUUAAUUGUACAUAUUCAAAUAUUGUUUUAUCUAUUGGAAAUAUAUAGUUUGCAUCAAUCCAAAGACAUUGGAAUUGUAUGGAACACAUACUGCUAUCUUUGCAGAGCAAUUGAUAAGAAUCUACUUUAUUCAAGAAAAUCAAAGCUACAAUUGCUUAAAUAUGUAAAUGCAUGAUACUUUUCAGACCUCCACAAAGCUUGAACAUAAUGUGGUCAGUUGUAAUAAUACUAUUACUGUAACGACCCGCAUCCAAUCGUGUAAAUAUUGUCCAUUAUGGGCUCAAGGAGGCCUUCAUGACUUUAAAAUGGGUUUAUAAGGUUAAGAAGAGCUCAUACUUAUAUAGUGCCAUGAAUUUUUUUCCUUAUCUGAUGUGAGAUAUCAUAAGAACUCCUUUUAUGUAGACACUACGUCAAUGUUGUGUUCUAUGGAAUUACGGGGUAAAAUGGACAGACAUUCUUCAUGAGGCCAAACAAACCCCCAUACAAGAAUCGAGGAUCGACUUUGAUAUCAUUUAUAACGACUCGUACCCAACUGUGUGGAUAUUGUCUGCUUUGGGUCCAAAGGGGCUCUCAUGGCUUUAAAACACAUCUACAUAGUUAAGAAGAUUUGCAAUGACCCAUUCCCAACCAUAUAGAUACUGUUUGCUCUAGGCAUAAGGGGUCCUCGCGGCUUUUAAAUGUGUCUAUAAGGUUAAGAAGAGCACAUACUUAUAUGGUGCAAGGAACUUUAUCCCCUAUUCAAUAUAGGAUAUCACAAUUACUUCAUAGAAAUCUAUCAAGUAAACAAAUGCCGGUUACAUUUUCAGAUCAUUCAAAAGUACUUACAAUUCAUAAAGAAAGUGAUGAAUGUAUAUGGUUAAGAUUUAUGAUCCAACAUAUUUAGAAAUCAUGGACUUUUCUCGAUCAAAUAUAUGAAGGUAUUGUCACAUGCAUUACGCAGAUAAAAAUAGAGUUCUAUUAAAGGAGAUUGGAUCAAACAUAUUUUAACAAAGUUAUUUUAUUAUACACAUUAACUUAAGAAGAAUGAUGAAAUUGAUGUUCAACAAAUAUAUUCAAGUGAUUAUAACCUAACAAAUUAAUUCGCAAAGGCUUUGCUAAGCUCAAUAUUUAGGAAAUUAAUGUAUAAUAUUGAAAUACAUUGAUUCAAUGAUUUUUCUUAUUAAACUUUUGUAGCAUACUUAUAUCAAUAUGAGAGAAAGUAUACUUAUAAGGAGAUGUGUUAAAGAUGUUGACAUGCUACACCUUUUUUUUUUUUUUUUCAAGAUUUGUCCUGUUAAGUUUUUCUAGCAAGAUUUUUAAUGAUACUGUUGAGCUGUAAAUAGAAUAGGAGAAUUAUUUUCUUAUUAUGUUAAUUUCCUAUUUCUGUAAAUAGAUAGUUUUAUGCUUUAGGAAUAAGUUAGUUUCCUAUUAUGUCUCUUGUUUCCUAUUUCUUCUCUUGUAAUCUCCUAUAUAAAUUGUGUAUAGUCAAUCUUAUAGACAUAACUUUUUAUUUUUCAUCCCAUAUGUCUUGUCAUGGUAUCAGAGCUGUAGGUUUUUAAGACCUGGGCAUCAUUUUGGCAUUCAUCGCCAUUUUUCUAGCCUUCAUAGCUGGAUUUGUUUUUUAUUUACAAACCUAUUGGAACUUGUUCAAUAGUGAAGAAAUGAAGAAGCUGAGAAGCUUGUUAGGAUCCCUUAACAAACCUACUGGAACUUGUUCUUUGGCUCUUUUAGGUACACUUUCACUCUCUUUUUGCAUAAAUGCCUCACACUAGGUUUAUCAUGACUCUUGGAUAAUAGACUUCGGUGCCACAGACCAUAUGACCUCCAAAUCUCAAUUUUUCCAUACCUAUGUCCCUAGCCCAAGGAACAAGAAAAUUGCAGUGGCCAAUGACUCUUUAGCUACUGUUGCAGGUUUCAGAGACAUAUACAUCACACCUACCCUUAUUCUUAAAAAUGUUCUCCAUGUACCAAAAAAUAUCGGCCAACCUUGUUUCCAUUCAAAAACUUACCCAUGAUCUUAAAUGUUAUGCUAUUUUUUUCUUUUCUUAUUGUGUUUUUCAAGAAUAGGGCUCGGGGAAGAGGAUUGGACUUGCUAAGGAAAUGAGCGGCCUUUACCACCUUGAAUCAUCUUAGAAAACUAGUAAUAAUUUGUCGUUGUCUUUUCUCAGUUCCUCAAAUAAAGAUACCAUUUGGUUGUAUCACCUACGUCUAGGUCAUCCAUCUUUUAGGUUUUAAAGGUUAUGUUUCCUCAUUUGUUCCAAGGAUUAGAUAUUUUUGAGUUUCAUUGCGAAACUUGUUAAUUGGCAAAACAUACUCGUGUAUAUUUUCCUAUUAGCAAUAAAAGAAGUUCUCAUCCUUUUCAUUUGAUUCAUAGUGACAUAUGGGAUCCUUCGACUAUACCUAAUGUUUUUGGGGCUCGUUGGUUUGUAUCCUUAAUUGAUGACUGCACUCGGGUUACAUGGAUCUUUCUUCUUAAACAAAAAUCUAAUGUUAGCAUUGUUAUACCUAAUUUCCACUCAACGGUUCAAAACCAAUUUGGGGUUAAAAUAAAAAGCUUUAGGACAGACAAUGCUAGAGAUUACUUCAACCAGAUUUUGUCACCCUAUUUUCAAUCAUAGGGCAUUCUCCAUGACUCAUCAUGUGUUAACACACCCCAACAAAAUGGGGUAGCCGAGAGGAAAAAUGGGCAUUUACUUAACAUAAUCCGAGCCUUACUCUUUCAAGGGAAUGUUCCUAAGUCCUAUUGGAGGGAAGCUAUUCUUACUGCCACAUACAUGAUAAAUAGAAUUCUCUCACGAGUCUUAGACAACAAAAGCCCCGUAAAGAUACUUAAGAGUUUCUAUCCACACUUUAGAACUCAAAUAGGCUUACUGCUAGGGUAUUUGGGUGCACUACAUUUAUUCAUGUCCACAGCCAACAUAGAGACAAGUUAGACCCCCGAGCCAUAAAAUGUGUCUUCUUUGGCUACUCAUCCACUUAAAAAGGAUACAAGUGUUACAAUCCCUUAACCAAAAUUUUUUACGUCUCUGCAGAUGUCACCUUCACAAAAAAUAAACAUUUUUUCCCCAAGUCUUCUCUUUAGGGGAAGAUUUCAAUAAUAGAAGAUAAUCCUUAUGAGUCAUUUGAACCUCUUGAUCUUCCUUAUGUCUCAACCCAUGGUGAUGAAGAACCUGAGUCAUCCAAGUCAAUCACACCUGAGUUACCCAAUUUUACCACUGAACCUAUGUCAUCCCUGUUCCAACCAGUGUCACUCGCAAUUUUCCACAAUUUUCUAAGGUGUAUUAAAGAGAAAAGGCCAUUCCAGAACAAAAGUAGGUCCAAGAAUCCAACUCAGACCCUGGGAAUGAAAUCACGGUAAGAUCAGACCCACCUUUACAUACACAACUUGGUGAAAUUUCCAUUGACUCAACAGACAACCUAGACCUAAACCUUUCUAUUGUUGUCAGAAAAAGCACUAGAGAAUGCACUAACCGACCACUCUAUCCACUAUCACACUAUGUGUCUCUUAAACACCUAUCACCAACCCACAAGAAUUUUAUUAUGAGUCUAAACACCACCAUCAACCCUAACACUGUUGCUGAGGCAUUGACAAAAAGGGAAUGGAAUGAUGCUAUGAGAGAAAAGAUGAAUGCAUUAAAAAAGAAUAAAACAUGAGAGAUUGUUGAAAGACCAAAAGGGAAAAACAUUGUUGAUUGCAAGUGGAUUUUCACACUGAAAUAUAAGGCUGAUGGAUUUCUUGAGAGACAUAAAACAAGAUUGGUAGCCAAAUGGUACACUUAAACUUAUGGAGUUGAUUAUCAGGAGACUUUUGCUCAAGUUGCAAAAAUGAAUACUGUAAGAAUCCUACUGUCACUGGCUGCCCACUACAAUUGACAACUUCUACAGUAUGAUGCUAAGAAUGCAUUUCUUCAUGGUGAUUUAGAUGAAGAGAUUUACUUGAACAUCCCACCGGGAUUUGAGGGAAACACAUGUGAGAAAAUAAAGGUUAUGCUUAAAUGAGAAAAACACCCAAGAGGGGUGAAUUGGGUUUUUCAAAAACUUUUUCAACAUAACAAAAAUUUGAGCACAAUAUAAUAAAAAAUAAAGAGAUAGAGUUAGAGAAUUCAAACUUGGAUUUUAUAGUGGUUCGACACUUCCUUGCCUACGUCUACUAUCCUCAAUCUCCUAAUUGAGUGAGGGUUCCACUAGCUUGAAGCUUCAACCAAGCUUCCAAUCCUUUACACUUUGAUUCCAGUUCCAAUGAACUCUUACACAAUCUCUUCAAAAUUCAAACCUCUUUAAGGCUUUAACACUCAAGUUUUACAAGAAAGAAUCCCUCAACCUAGCUCAAAGAUAGCUAAAAAACAAAAUGAAGUUAGGAUGACUCACAAGGGUGCACUAAAAGAUAUGCAAGUAAUGAUUUAAUGCACUAAGAAAGAAAUGAGAGCUUUUAGGCCAAGAACAGGUAGGUAGACAAUUGAUUGCAAGUGUUCUCUAUGUCAUAAAUGAAGUGAAGCUCUCAAUUUAUAGGUUUCUAAGCUCGGGAGCCAAGAAAAGCAAAAGACAACCUCAACUGGUCGAGUUGGGGGUCAACCGGUUCACUAGCAAUUGGAGCAUUUAAUGCUUUGGCAAGUUAUCGUUGUCUUGAUCGAACCUCGACCAGAGGUUGAUCGAGAAGAGAAAGCUACUGGAUGAGAGAGAGUGUUUUUGGCACUCUUCGACCAUACCUCGACUGGACAAGGGCAACCGGUUGACCAGUUCCCUAAUCGGUUGAGCCGGUUGGCCAGAGCCUUGACCGGUUCAGCUUUUUGGCCCCGAAAACCUAUCUUUUUCAAUUCAUUUCUUUUCUAACACUUAGGCAAGGUCUUUAGGUAAAUUAAUAUGCAAAUUUCAAAACGUUUGUUUUAAGGUACAUUUGAUAAAACUCGGGUUUUAAUGAAAUUGAAAUUUUAAAGAACAAACCGAGUUUUCAAAGAUGCAUGAAAAGGUAUGAAAAACCUAAGUGCACCCAUGCAUUCAUCUUAUAUUUGUUUUCUAUGAUCAAAAGUCUUCCAAAGUCACAAUCUUGUAGCCAUUUGGUCAUUUGAUGAAUUUUCGAGUUUAUACCUGAGAUUCUUUACCAUUCAAACCAAUUAGUCACUUAACCAUGGUUUGUUAUCAUGAAAACCUGAUUAGGAGAACCCUUGGGCUAACAACAGGUAACAAGGUGUACAAGCUAAAAAAUACCCUUUAUGGGCUAAAACAAUCUCCUAGGGCUUGGUUUGGGAGAUUUGCAAAAGUCAUGAAAGAGUCUGAAUACAAACAAAACUAAGGUGACCACACUUUCUUCAUUAAGCACUCGGUUGUAGGGGGAGUAACUACUCUUUUAGUCUAUGUUGACGACAUCAUAGUGAUUGGAAAUGAUGAGAGAGAAAAGCAUGAAGUGAAGUAGAGAUUAAUAAUAAAGUUUAAGAUAAAGGAACUAGGAAAAUUGAAGUACUUCCUCGGUAUUGAGGUGACAUAUUCCACACAAGGGAUCUUCAUCUCUUAACAAAAGUAUGUGACUGAUUUAUUGGUAGAAACACGGAAGAUUGGGUGUAAACCAGUCUCUACCCUAAUGGAUCCAAACCACAAGUUGGGAGAAGUUAAAGAAGAACCAGUGGUGGAUAAAAGAAUGUACCAAAGGCUGGUUGGUAGGCUCAUAUACCUUGCUCACACUCGGCCAGACAUCGCCUACUCGAUGAGCGUGAUCAGUCAAUUCAUGCAUGAUCCAAGAGAACCUCAUCUUCAAACUGCUUACAGGGUACUGCAUAACUUGAAAGGCAACCCCGAGAAAGGAAUUUUGUUCAAGAAGAACAAUACUCUUGCUCUAGAAGCAUACACUAACGUUGACUAUGCAGGUUCCCUAGUGGAUCGAAGAUCAGCUACAUAGUAUUGUACUUUUUUUAGAGGUAAUUUGGUAAUAUGGAGAAGUAAAAAGUAGAAUGUGGUAGCAAGGUCGUUUGUAGAAUCAGAGUUUAGGGUCAUUGCUCAAAGGUUGUGUGAACUACUUUGGUUGAAGAUUAUUCUAGAUGAUUUGAGAAUCAAGUGGGUUGGUCCCAUGAAGCUCUAUUUUGACAACAAGUCAACUAUUAAUAUUGCUCAUAACCCUAUAUGACACGAUAUGACAAAACAUAUUGAGAUUGAUAGGCAUUUCAUCAAAGAAAAAUUGGAGGAAGGAGUAGUGUGUAUGUCCUAUGUUCCAUCAAAACAUCAAUUAACUGAUAUAAUAACAAAAGGGCUGAACAAUUCAAUGUUUCAUGAUCUUGUAUUCAAGCUGGGAAUGGAAGACAUCUAUUCCUCAACUGGGGGAGUGUUGAGCUGUAAAUAGAAUAGGAGAAUUAUUUUGCUAUUAUGUUAGUUCCUAUUUCUGUAAAUAGAUAGUUUUAUUAGUUUCAUAUUUCUGUAAAUAGAUAGUUUUAUGAUUUAGGUAUAAGUUAGUUUCCUAUUAUGUCUCUUGUUUCGUAUAUCUUCUCUUAUAAUUUCCUAUAUAAACUGUAUGUAUAGUAAGGGUCUCCAACGGGCGGGCCGGGCUGGGCUGAGCCGUAAAUAGGAGGCCCGCGGCCCAACUCGGGCCGGGCCGGGCCAUGCUAAAAUGCUAGGCCCGCGGCCCGGCCUAUGAGCCCGCGGGCUAACGGGCCAGGCCGCGAGCUUUUUAAAAUAAGCCAAAAUGGCUUUCAAAGAAAGGAANNNNNNNNNNNNNNNNNNNNNNNNNNNNNNNNNNNNNNNNNNNNNNNNNNNNNNNNNNNNNNNNNNNNNNNNNNNNNNNNNNNNNNNNNNNNNNNNNNNNGUUCGAACCCCUCCCCUCAUGCUUAAAUUUCAAGGCUCUAACCAACCGAACUACAUUCCUUUUAUGCUUAUUAAUUGAAUUAAUUAUAUAUAUAUAUAUAUAUAUAUAUAUAUAAAAAUAAAGUAUAUUAUUUUUUAAAAAAAAAUUAAAGGCUCCAACGGUCAUGUGACCGUUGGAGCCUAGCCAGCCCAUGUGAGUCAUAUGACCGUUGGAGCUAAGCCUCCAACGGUCACAUGGCUAUUUUUUUUUUAACCUUCCUAUAAAUACAUUUUCUUCCUUUUCAUUUUUUCAUCAAAUUCUCUCUAUUUCUCUCACAUUCUACAAUAUUUCAAAUUCUUUUAUUUUUCCCUCAAAUUAUACAAUAUUGUUGGUGGUGCAAAACAAGUAUUGGUGGCUCCAAGAGUUCAAAUUUGCUCGGAAUUUCUGCAUCGGUUCUCUAAUUGAGUAACAUACUUCACCCCUACUACAUUAUUUUUUUGUUACAUUUUUUUUAUAUUUAUUACUUUAUUAUUUUUGGCAUAAUAUUUGAUCAAUAAUUAUAAUAUGACAAGUGCUUCUUCAUCUAGUCCAUGUGAUGAAAUAUCAUCAAACAAAAAAUUUACUUCAAAUAUAUGGAAUUUUUUUGAUAGAAUAGAAAUAAUUUUAGAAAAUAAUAAAAAAGAAAUAAAAGCAAAAUGUAAAAUUUGUAAUAAAUUUCUUACUGGUGGCUCAAAUGCAGGCACAAGUCAUUUAAAAAGACAUCAUGAAAAUUGUAAAACUAAAAAUAAUGUAGAUAUUAGAAAUUAUAUGCAAUUAGGUAAAAAUGAAAGUGGAAAUUUAAAAACAUUUUCUUAUGAUGAAUCUAACUGUCGUGAAGAAAUGAUUGAUUAUAUAAUAGAGCAGAACAACCUUUCAACAUGAUGGAAACUCAUGAUUUUGUAGGAACAAUUCAAUGAGGUAUUAAUCCUCAAUUUAAAGGUUGGUCUAGAAAUACAGUUAAAAGAGAUAUUAUGAAAAAAAUUUAUACACAAAAAGAAAUUUUAAAAUUUUUUUUUGCAAAUUUUGAAGGAAAUAUUUGUUUAACAUCUGAUAUUUGGACAUCUUUAACUCACACUGGUUUUUUUUAUGUAUAACUGCUCACUACAUUGAUAAUGAAUAGAAAUUAAAUAAAAGAAUAAUUUCAUUUAAAUUAAUAAAUGCUCCACAUAGUGGUAAAAAUAUAGCAUCUUUAAUAAAUGAUGAAAUUAUAGAUUUAGGCAUUCGUGAUAAAAUAUUGACAAUAACAUUAGAUAAUGCUGCUAAUAAUGAUACAGCAAUACAUAGACUAAAACGAUAUUGGCAAGUAAAAGAAGAUCAUGCUAAAAUAUUUCAUGUGCGUUGUUGUGCACAUAUUUUAAAUUUAAUUAUAAAGGAUGGAUUAAAAAAUGUUGAUGAUACAUUGGAAAAAAUUAGAGGCAUUGCAUAUAGUAUUAAUAGUUCUCAAGCAAAACAUGAAUUAUUUUUUGAUUGUUGCAAAAUGUUAAAUAUGAAAAGAAAAAAUAUAAAUUUGGAUAUGGCCAUUAGAUGGAAUUCCACAUAUAAACUUUUACAAAAUAUUACAAAAUAUAGAAAAGUAGUCGAAUUAUAUGAAAUACAAUUACUUAACAAUGAUUGUGAAGCAGAUAUUUAUGCAUUAAGUGAUUAUGAUUGGCAUAUUGCAGAUCUUUUAAGAGAUCUUUUUGAAAUUUUUGAUACUUCAACAAACAUUUUUUGUGGUGUAUAUUAUCCAACUUCAAAUCGAGUUAUUAUGCAAAUAACUAAUAUUUUUAUUGUACUUCAAAAAUAUUUAAGUUUUGAAAUAUUUAAUGAUACAAUAUUUGCAAUGAUAGAAAAAUUUAGAAAAUAUUGGGGGGAAAUACCUUUAAUUUUUUAUAUUGCUUUAAUUGUGGACCCUAGAUUGAAAUUUGAAGCUUUGGAUGAAUGGUUAACAAUUAUUUAUUUUAAUGACCAAAUAAAAAUUGAAGAAAUUAAAAAUGAAAUAAAUUCAUUAUUAUAUAAUUUAUAUAACUAUUAUAAAGAAAAAUAUGGUAAUAAUAUUAAUAGUAUUAAAUUACCACCUACAUCUACAAACUCCUCAUCUUUUUAUAAAGGAGCUCUAGAAAUGUUGAAAAGUCGAAAAAAGACAACAAAUAGUUCUCCAAAUAAUACAUCUGAUUUAGAUAAAUAUCUUAAUACUGAUUUAAUUUCAUUUGAAGAUCAAGAAGAUUUUGAUAUUUUAAUAUGGUGGAAAUCACAUCAACACAAAUAUCCUGUGCUUUCUAUAAUUGCUCGUGAUGUACUAACAGUUCCUAUGAGUACAGUUGCAUCAGAAGUUGCUUUUAGUAUAGGUGGAAGAGUAGUUAGUAAAAAACGAUGCAACUUAGCGUCAGAUGUUAUUGAAACAGGGAUAUGUGUGAAAGAUUGGGAAAUAGCAGAUAAAAGGAUGUUCGAUUCCAUUCGAGAAACAGAGAUGGUUGCCGAUAUGGAAUCUUUAAAAUUAUCAAGAUCUUCAUGGAUGCAUGAUAGUUUGCCAUCACCGCAAGAAAAUAAUGACUAAAUGUAUAUUAUAUUUUUAUUUUUAUUUUUUGUGGUUGAAAAAUACAGAUGAUUGACAAAUAAAUAGGUGUCAACCUAGUUGGGAUGUAUUUAUUUUGUAGUGAUGUAAACUUUUCCCACAUUUUAAAAUGUAAUUAUACAUUCAAUGAAUAAAAUUUUGAAAUGAAUAUUUUUUUUAAUACUUUUUAUUUUUAUAGUUUUUUUUUAAAGGGGAGGGCCUAAGGGCGGGCCUACGGACCGGGCGUAAAUUUAGGCCCGCGGCCCGGCCCGCCCGUAAACGGGCUGGGGCCAGGCUUUAGCCCGUCGGGCCGAGCCGGGCCUAAAGCGGGCCGCGGGCUUUUUGGAGACCCUUAGUGUAUAGUCAAUCUAAUAGACAAAACUUAUUAUUUUUCAUCCCAUAUUUCGUAUCAGAUACAAUUCUAACAGUCUAAAAGAAUAACAUCUAUAAAAAUAUUGUACUCUUUUUCUCUUAUUAGGUUUUUCCUUGUAGGCUACAUUUGGUUGGUAGGAUAAGAUGUAAUAUAAUAUACAUAUUAUAAGAUAUCAUUUCUAAUGGGAUAUGCAUAUCUUAGCAUUUUAUUUCUAGUGACAUAUGAUAUCCUUAGAUAUUAUAUCUAUUAAAAUAUAUUAUACCAUGAUCAUAUUUGGUUUGUAUAAGGAAUAAAAGAUGGAAUGGAAAACUUGUUAUACUUCAUUCAAUAUUUAUUUACAAUAAGAAUUAUAUUACAUCUCAAAAUUUGCUAUUAAAAAAUAAAAUAUAUGAAAAUUUGUUCAUAUUUAAUAUUAUUUAAAGACUACUUUAUAAUUUUUCAUUUAGUAAGCAAAUUUUUAUUUCUUUAUUAAUAAUAUUCACAAAUAAAGAUUUAAUAUUUAUACUAUAUUAUCUUGUUAAAUAUAUAAAAACAUUUUUUAUAUGUUAAAUAAUACAUAUAUUAAUAUUUUUAUAUUUUUAAUUUAUUUAUUUUUUAGACUAUAAUUUUAAUUUUUUUUAAAACAAAUAAUGUAAAAAAAUUUAAAAAUGAAGAAACUAUGCCAAAAGAAUAAAUUUAUGAAUAUGUAUAUAAUUUAAGAUUAUCACAUCUUAUGUAAAGUGAUAUAGGCUAGAUAAUAGAUAGGGCAAAUUAUUGCUUGUGAAUAUGAUAUGUUAUCCAAGAUUUUGUCUUUUAAACAAAUAUUAUCAUAGGUUUUUUACUAGUAAUGUUUUAAUGAGACAUAUUCUCAAGAGUGUUACAAAUGAUAUGACAAUCGAAGGAGUAAAUCACCACUUCAUUGAAUUUGCUUUAUGCACUUCCAUUUACUCAACUUUGAAGGUGAGUAGUGGAAGCCAUUUUGUAACCCUAUAAAAGGUGUCCCCAUACUUUCUUCAAGAAAGAAAGAAAAAGUUAGUUUUCUUGUGUGAGACAUUCUUCAAGAAGAGAAAGUUCUCUCUACCAUUCUUGUAUAACACUUUUUGUAUUUUUUAUUUAUUUUUAUAGAGGAGUUUUUAAUGAAUUUUAAUAUGAGUAAUUUGAUUAAAAGAGAUAAAAUAAAUCUUAUAUUAUAAAAAUAAUUUUUUCAAUGUUUUAACUUGAAAACGCAUUUCUUUUAAGCGUAAAUGUCCUCCGUAUUUUCCCCUCAACACCAACUUCUCUUUGUUUUCUUUCACUUGUAGAUAAGAAACAUUUUUUUUUUUGGGAAUGAAGGCAAGCUAUUACAACCACUCAAGAGGAAGAAACAACCACCAAUCUCUAUUUGGGCCCAAAAUUAUUGUAGUUACAACUAUCAUCUUCGAUGACCCUCCAAACAUAAUUGUCCAGCGAUCUCAAUCUCCAUAACCAACCAUGAUCUUUGACAUCCAUUUUUGCAACUCUUUUCUUUGAAGACCAAUUUUAUAAUAUUAAGAGGAUGUUUGGUAAAUCAACUUAAUGACUUAAUAUAAUUUAAUGAUUUAAUUUAAGUUAUUAAGUAGAUUAAACAUGUUUAAUAAAAUAAUUUAAUAUUACAACUUAAAGUUAAAAAUGACUUAUAUUAAGUCAAAAUAGUUAAUUUAUUCUUAAUUUCAAGUUUUUUUUUUAUUGUAAAUCUUUUAAGGUUGCCUUCUAUGUUCACAAUACUUUAAAUAUAAAUGUUUAAUAAAUAAAUUUAUUACUUAAAAUUAAUGAAAAUAAAUAUAAAUUAAAAUUAAUAAUGCUAAUAAUUAACUAGAACUAAUGAGGGUGAAUAUGUCAUUUUGAUAACUUAAAAUAAGUUUUAAGUUAAUUUUAUCGAAUAAUUUUAAUACUUAAAGUAAAAAAAUAAGUAAUAAGUUAGGGCGUUUGGUAUAUCAACUUAAUGACUUAAUAACUUAAUUUAAGUUAUUAAGUACAUUAAGUAUGAUAAAAUAACUUGAUAUUACAACUUAAAGUUAAAAAUAACUUCAAGUAUUAAAUAAAAAUAGUUAAUUUAUUUUUAAUUUUAAAUCUUUUUUGUUUUAUUUAACCAUAUCUUAUGAAAGUAUAUUUAACCAUCACGACUCCAUAUCCAUGACUCAUUUUUUAUAGUAAAUAUAUUUUAAGAUUAUCUUAUAUAUUUACAAUACUUUAAACAUGGAUGAUUAAUAAAAAAAUUUAUUAAUUAUGAUUAAUAAAAAUAAAUAUUAAUUAUAAAUAUGUCAAUUUGAUAGUUUCAUAUAAAUUUUAAGUUAAUUUUACCAAACAACUUUAAUAGUUAAAGUAAAAAAUAAGUAAUAAAUUUUAAGUUAAUAAUUUAAUGACAAUUUAACUUAAAGUCAAUUUAAGUUAUUGAGUAAUAAAUAAUAAGUUUUACCAAAUAUCGGUUAAUAUUACAACUUAAAGUUAAAAAUAACUUUAACGUAUUAAGUCAAAGUAAUUAACUUAUUUUUAAUCUUAAAACCCUUCUAUCUCAUUUGCUCACACCGGUGAGAGUAUAUUUUAAAAUUAUGAUUUCAUAUCAAUAAUUUUUUUUAUAAUAAAUAUUUUAUGAUUAUCUUAUAUAUUUAUAAUACUUUAAAUAUAGAUGUUUUUAUAAAUAAAUUCAUUGCUUAAAAUUAAGGAAAAUAAACAUGAGUUAAAAAAAAUAAAAAUAGAUAUUAGCUAAAAUUAACGAGGUAAGUGUAUUAAUUUGGUGAUUUAAAAAAAUAAAUUCAAUUUAUCAAAUAAUUUUAAUAUUUAAAACAAAUAAGAAAUAAUAAAUUUUAAAUUGAUAAUUUAAUUAAAUUAAAUUUAAGUCAUUAAAUAAUGAAUAUUAAGGUUUUUUUUAAGACUAUUUACAUACUAUUUACCUUAAAAGUAGAUUAAAUUACUUUUAUAAUAUCAAAAUUAUUUUGUACAUUUUAAUCAAAUAAUUUUUUUAAUAUUUGGAGGUGAUAAAUAUAAAUUAUUGCUUUGACACUUCACGUGCGAUUCUUUAACAAGUAAUUCAUACUCGCAAAACCUUGCUCGCUCCCCAUAAACCCUAACCCAACAAAAAAGACUGACUAAAAAGGCAAAAAAAAAAACCAUUUGUUUUGCUGGAAACCAAACCAUGAUCAGUCACCCUUCCUUUUCCUCUAGUUUCAAACACAAAUCAUGGAGCUAACCCUAGCUCAUCGCAGCCUUUUCUUUCCUCUUAAAAGAUGUUAAUUUUCUUGCGCAGUCUCUUCGGCAUCGGACGCAGAACCUCUCAUCGUCUCACCGCCUUCUCCCAUAACCCUAAUCACAUCUCCAACACUUGUUCUUCAUCUCCAUCUCUAGUUUCUCCUUUCAUUUGGUUGAGCUGUUUCAUCUGCUUGAUUCGCUUUCCCUUUGUUAGCAACCGGCAUUUUCACAAUUUUGACUGUUUUGACAAGGAUUCUGUCCGAGAAAUCGUUCGGGAACAGCGCUGGGACGAUUUUCGGAUUGUGAGUUUGUUUGAUUCGGCUUUGGCGCCGAUUUGGGCUUCUAGGGUUUUGGUGGAAUUGUGCCAGGACGCGAGGCUGGCAUUGAGGUUUUUCGAAUGGGCCAAGGGUAGGAUUGGGUUUCAGCAUACUUCGGAGGCCUACUGUAUUCUAGUUCACAUAUUGUUUUGUGCUAGAUUUUACUCCGAUGCCAAUGCGGUCUUGAAAGAAUUGAUUUGUUUGAGGCGGGUUUUGCCCAGUUGGGAUGUGUUUGAUUUAUUGUGGGCCACGAGGAAUGUUUGUGUUCCGGGUUUUGGCGUUUUUGAUGCUUUGUUUAGUGCUUUGAUUGAGUUGGGGAUGCUUGAAGAAGCGAGUGAGUGUUUUUUGAAGAUGAGGAAGUUUAGGGUGUUUCCGAAGCCUAGGUCUUGCAAUGCUCUUUUACAUAGGCUUUCAAAGGUAGGGAGAGGGGAUUUGUCUAGGAAGUUUUUUAAAGAUAUGGGUGCAGCGGGGAUCAAACGGUCGGUCUUUACUUAUAAUAUAAUGAUAGACUAUUUGUGCAAAGAAGGGGAUUUGGAAAUGGCGAGAAGCUUGUUUACACAGAUGAAAGAGGCAGGUUUCACGCCGGAUAUUGUAACUUACAAUUCUCUUAUUGAUGGGCAUGGAAAGUUGGGGCUAUUGGAUGAGUGUAUAUGUAUAUUUGAACAAAUGAAGGAUGCAGAUUGUGAUCCUGAUGUUAUAACAUAUAAUGCUUUAAUAAACUGUUUUUGUAAAUUUGAAAGGAUGCCAAAGGCCUUUGAGUUUCUCCAUGAGAUGAAGGCAAAUGGGUUGAAACCAAAUGUUGUAACAUAUAGCACAUUUAUUGAUGCUUUUUGCAAGGAAGGGAUGUUGCAAGAGGCAAUAAAGUUUUUUGUUGACAUGAGGCGAGUUGCACUCACUCCUAAUGAAUUCACAUAUACGUCUUUGAUUGAUGCGAAUUGUAAAGCAGGUAACUUGGCUGAAGCUUUGAAGCUGGUUGAGGAGAUAUUGCAAGCAGGAAUUAAGUUGAAUGUUGUUACUUAUACGGCAUUGUUGGAUGGUCUUUGUGAAGAAGGGAGGAUGAAGGAAGCAGAGGAAGUGUUUAGGGCAAUGCUGAAUGCUGGGGUGGCCCCUAACCAGGAAACCUAUACUGCCCUUGUUCAUGGCUUUAUUAAAGCUAAAGAAAUGGAGUAUGCCAAGGAUAUUUUAAAAGAAAUGAAAGAAAAAUGCAUCAAACCAGACUUGUUGCUCUAUGGAACGAUUUUGUGGGGCCUUUGCAAUGAAAGCAGACUUGAGGAAGCAAAGCUUUUAAUUGGCGAAAUUAAGGAAAGUGGUAUAAAUACAAAUGCUGUCAUUUAUACAACUCUUAUGGAUGCCUAUUUCAAGUCAGGUCAAGCCACUGAAGCACUCACUCUGUUAGAAGAAAUGCUGGACUUGGGUUUAAUCGCCACAGAAGUGACUUAUUGUGCAUUAAUUGAUGGCUUGUGCAAAUCAGGAUUAGUGCAGGAAGCAAUGCACCAUUUUGGUAGGAUGUCAGAAAUUGGUUUGCAACCCAAUGUUGCAGUUUAUACUGCUUUAGUUGAUGGCUUGUGUAAAAAUAAUUGCUUUGAAGUGGCCAAGAAGCUGUUUGACGAAAUGCUGGACAAAGGUAUGAUGCCAGAUAAAAUUGCUUACACUGCUUUGAUUGAUGGGAACAUGAAGCAUGGCAAUCUUCAGGAAGCCUUGAAUUUGCGAGACAGGAUGAUUGAAAUUGGAAUGGAGCUUGAUCUGCAUGCUUACACUGCCCUGAUUUGGGGACUGUCUCACAGUGGUCAAGUGCAAAAAGCAAGGAAUUUGCUUGAUGAGAUGAUUGGAAAGGGUGUGCUUCCUGAUGAGGUUGUUUAUAUGUGUUUGAUAAAGAAGUAUUAUGCACUAGGGAAAGUGGAUGAAGCUCUAGAACUGCAGAAUGAAAUGGCAAAGAGGGGUAUGAUUACUGGUCUUAGUGAUCAUGCUGUUCCUAGUGUGCAAACUUAAGAGGUGUAAGUGCUUGCACAUCUCAAUUUGUUGGUUCUGUGUUGAAAUUUUCAACUAGCGAGAUGAAAAUGAUUCAUUUUAUUUUCAUUGAGAAGAAACAGGGUUCAUGAAAUACAAAAAUACCGGAUGGAUGUGAAAGACUUGUUGCUAGCAUAUUGUCGAUGAUGAUUUGCUGAUAUGAGCUGUCCUUGGAUACCUAUGGACACUUGUUAAAAAUCCUUAGUGAUCUCAUAAUGCAAAAUCUGCUAGAGCAAGUUCUUACUCCUGAGCAUUCGUGUCACUAUCAAUAGAUGGAAUUUUAUAUCUCUGCCACACAAACCUAUUCAACUGCUUACAAGGUCAGUAAUACGGGCAUUGAAUUCUUCAAAAUCUGCAAAUAGAAAAUGGGAAGCUUUAAAUAUUGCUAAGUUUUAUUGUUGACAACUCAUAUCUCACAUCAUGUACUAUUUUCCUUUUUCUCCUGUCAUAUAUUGAGUCUUUUUUUCUUAUUGGGAAAAUAGAUAAAAAAAAUGGUUACAAAUAAAAGCUGAUAAGAGGAAAUAUAUAAUACAAAAAUACACAAACACUAAUCCACAUAGCACAAACUUAAUUGAACACACACCCAUCCACAUAUCACACUUAAAUAAAAUACAUACAUACAUUUAUACGUGUGAACAUACAUUACAUAAAUGAAUGAUAACGUAAUAUAUAACCAACUUCAUUAAAAGUGCAAGAGUAAAAGAGUCAUAUAUAUUCAUUGUUCAAUGUUAUACAUAAAGAUUAAACAUGUAGGAUGAUGAAAUCAAGUUAACAAAACUAUGACACUUUAAUGCAUGGAUUCAUCAUAACAUCCUCAAAUAACUUUCCUGUGUUUAACUUGAAGUGUUAAUUUCCAAAUAUGCAACUAAUAUGUACUAUUAUACCAACAGUUUUAAGUUCAAUCUAGUCCUUAUCCAAGAUACUCAUGGGAAAACUAUGACAUGUACAACCAUAAUUAUUUAUUGAACUAUGUACAUAUACGAACUCUAGACCAUGGACUUACUAAGUAAGAAUCUUCAUUCUUCAUUCAUUGUCAUCCUCAAGUUCAAUGUUCAAAUGGUCCUCAUUGUUUUCCAUGUGCAUAUGAUAAUUUACAUGAUCUUUCUCUCCAUUGUGUUCAAUUUCAAUCAUUUCAACUUCUCCUUCCUUCUAAUAUGCCUUUUCCCUCCUACUGGCCUAAUAUUUGACAUUUAAGUUCCUUGGUCUUAGAGUAAAAGGUGCUUAAUGUCCCAUACAUUUUGGAACUGGAUGGAGGAGAGAGAGAGAGGGGGGCUAGAGUGAGAGAGACUGAGAGCGAUGGAGGAGAGCGAGGGCUUCUGCGCCUGAGUGAAAGCGAUGGAGGAGAGUGAGGGCUUCUGCGCCUGAGUGAGAGUGUAGAGGGAUUUGUCCACUCGGGGUCUCGGAAUAGCUCAAGGAAGGGUAGAUUUAGUGUGGAGUUGAAGACCUUUGAGAUUGAGGUAGAAGAAAAGAAAGGCAAAAUGCAAGCUACGAUCGUGGAGAGGAAAAGAGGGAUGUCGUCGUGGAUAAGACUGGGACCAGAGAGCCUAGGGCUCUUUCUUGAAGGUCUGGUUCAUUGCAGUAAGGAUACGAGUGUUGGAAAAUGGGGAAGAAAGUGGAAGGAAAAUGGGAGGGCCUAUUCAAUGUUGCGCGAUGAAAACAAAGGUGGGUGCUUCAUUUGAUUAGGAGUUGUGGACUUGGAGAAUCAAAGUUUCAACAUUUUUAUCCCUAAAGGGAGAGGAGCAGUGAGGGGCUGGACUUCAAUGGUGGAGAAGCUACGGCGUCUGGGUAUUGUUAAUGUAGGGAAGGAAGGCCAGAAGGAUGAAGUGAUGUUGCUGAAGCCUAUUAUGACGAAAGCCUUUGUGGAAGUGAUCAAACAGCCGAUGAGCAAAGGAAGAGCAGUGAUCAAGGUGGAGGUCAGAGAGAAGGAGCUAAGCCGAAACUUGAAUAAACUGGUUCACUGUUUGGUUGGGUCCUGGAACCCUAAUUCAGGGAGGGGGGAUGACCUGAAGAGUUGGGGGACCCUUUUGGCAAAAUCUUGGGGACUGAAGGAUAACUAAGGACUUGCAAAACUGGAGAGGGGUAGGAUUCUGCUAGAAUUUGAACUAUUGGCAGAAGCUGAGAAAGCCCUAAGCCUCGGAAGCAUUUUGGUGGGGGGGAUCCUUCUUCGCCUGGAAAAAUGGAGUCUCGAGACGGGGUGCCUGUUGAAAGGGGAGAAAAUGCGUGAGGCAUGGGUGCGAAUCGUGGGCCUACCCGUCUCCUUAUGGGAUCAGGCCAUUCUGAGAAGGAUAGGGGAGGAGUGUGGGGGGUUCCUUGCAGUCGACUCCCAAACAGAGAAGCUGGAGGAGUUGCAGUGGGCACGGAUUCUGGUGAAGAUGAACGGAGAAGAGCUUCCCAACGUGGUGGAAAUAUGGAUUGAAGAUUUCUGCUACGUGUUAACCCUCUGGUGGGAGGUUAGGCUAGUCUUGAAAGGGGACCGGUAGGAAAGAGAGGGUUGAAGACUGUAGCAGCAGGCAAGGUUGGGGGUGAGUCUUAUGCACGCGCGAGUAAGGGUGUGAUGGAGGAGGUCAGUGUCUCUAGGCUCGAGGCCCUAUCGCCGUCUGCCAAUGGGACGUGGGGGCAGACAUGCGGGUUGGGGCAGCCUGUGGAGCUUUGCUUGGGUGGGCCUUGCUCUGACCCUUUGGAGCUCUGAUAUGGCCCCUGGGCCUUCUGGGCCUAUCCCAGCUGGUCUUGAGGCUAGGCUGUCUCGCUCUGGGUCGUCUGGGCCGUCGCCUAGGAAGAGUUCUGGGUGGGCCAAGGCCAAGGAGCCCUUAGUGGUGACUGGGCCGGAACGCCAAGGCCCGCUUCUACCUUGUGCACCCGCCCCUUGGUUUUGACUGGCCCAUGCCUUCUGGAGGGCCCGGACUCUGGAUCUCUUUCUGGAUGAAGGACGACUCGAGAAAGCAGGUGGAGGAGGAGCCACGAUCUGUGGAGAUUUCGAAGACUGAUGGCGCCUUAUUGGAGGAAGCUCUGAGGUAUGGGACCGCCUCUAACCCUUUUAGAUUGUUGGUUCCUGUUCCCCCUUCUUCUCCCUCUUCUAUUUUUGGUCGGACUCCUUUGAGGGAGUAUUACGACUUUUCUGGGGCUGGUUGGGAGAUAGCCCAGGGGGAAACUCCGUGUUGCAUUGUCAAUGGCCCAGGGUCUAUAGAGCAGAAGACUGUUACUAGUUGGGAGCUGAUGGAGGUUAACAAUGGCAACAAUGGAGAAUGUGGAGAGGAGUUAUGCUUGGUCCGUACAGUGCCACAUGAAGCUAAAGGAUGGGAGGAGGUCAAUUGGGAGGAUAGUGAGCUGGCUAGAUUUAGCAAGUUCCUGGGGUUUUCGACAAAAGGCUUGGAGAAGGACAUUUUGGAUUUCUUGGUCAUGAUCAGAAAAAGGAGGGAAAGAGUCCAUAGCAAAGUUCUUCUGGACAAAUCGAAAUUUGAAAGGGAAUUGAAAAGACUAGAAUGCUUCAUUAACUACAAGGGGUGGAAGAGGCAAAAGAGUGGUACGCAAGAAAGAGGGGGCCAAAUUUUGGAGGAAUAAUGAAAUUAAGGUUGCUAAGCUGGAAUGCGUGGGGAGCUAAUGAUAGCUCCAAAAGAAAGGUGAUUAAGGCCAUGAUUAGGAAUCAAAGGGUGGAUUUGUUUUGUCUCCAGGAGACAAAAAUUCAAACAAUGUUUGAGGGUGUGGUGAGGAGUCUGGGCUCUGGGAGGUUCUUGGACUGGGGUGCCAUGGUUGCUCAUGGAUCUGCGGUUGGAAUUUUGAUCUGUUGGGACAAAAGGACCCUGGAGGUGCUUGAGAUGGAGGUGGGACACUUCUCAAUUUCCUGUAGGCUUAGGAAUGUGGAAGAUGGGUUCGUCUGGAUUUUCACAGGAGUAUAUGGGCCGUUCUCUAGGGAGGACAAGGAAGCUUUAUGGGAGGAGCUAGGGGCAAUUAGAGGCAUCUGGAAUGACCCCUGGUGUUUAGGGGGCGAUUUUAAUGUCACCAUUUCCCAAAGAGAAAGGAGCAGUCAGGGAAGGAUAAGUGGUGCAAUGAGAAGAUUUGCCCAGGUUCUUGAUGAGUUAGAGCUUCUAGAUCUUCCAUUGCAAGGUGGUGUGUUUUCCUGGAGCGGGGGUAGGAACAACCAGUCUUGGGCUAGACUGGAUAGAUUCCUUGUGACCUGGCUUGAUCAAUUCUGUGGGGUUGUCCAAAGCAGGCUGCCGAGGCCCACUUCUGACCACUUUCCCAUCUUGUUGAAAGGUGGUGGGUUAAGACGAGGCCCCUCUCCGUUUAGGUUUGAAAACAUGUGGCUGAAAGUGGAUGGGUUUAAGGACCUUCUUCGGGGAUGGUGGCAAGGGUCUGGGGUGAGUGGGAGGGCCAGUUUUAGAUUGGCCACUAAGCUAAAGGUGCUAAAACAGAAAAUCAAAGACUGGAAUAGGGAUGUGUUUGGAAGGCUGGAAGUUAACAAAAACUUGGCUCUCCAGUAGGUCGAGUUCUAGGAUAGGGUGGAAAGUGAAAGGAGCCUCUCAGAAAGUGAAACAGAGAUGAAAAAAGAAGCUAAGGAAACUUUCAAAAAGUGGGUUCUGCUGGAAGAAACCCAUUGGAGACAAGUGUCGAGGGAGUUGUGGUUGAAGGAAGGGGACAAGAAUACAGGAUUCUUUCACCGGAUGACCAAUGCCCACCGAAGAAACAAUUCCUGGGAUAGAACUAAAAUUAACGGGGUGUGGAGGACUGAGGAGCAGGAAGUGAGGGAGGGGAUUGUGAACGCUUUUCAGCAACUGCUCUCUGAAGAGCCAGGCUGGCAAGCUAAUAUUGAGGGGCUGCACCUUCAAAGUCUAAAUUCCAGUGAAGCUGAAGGCUAGGAGUUGCCAUUCACUGAGGAAGAAAUCCACUCUGCCCUGUUGGAAAUGAAUGGUGACAAAGCUCCUGGACCGGAUGGGUUUACAGUGGCCUUUUGGCAAUUUUGUUGGGACUUUGUGAAGGAGGAGAUUGUGGAUCUGUUUAAGGAGUUUUAUGAACAAAGAUCUUUUGCCAAAAGCCUCAACACCACUUUCCUGAUCCUAAUUCCAAAGAAAGGGGGGGCUGAGGACCUUGGGGACUUUCGGCCUAUCAGCCUAUUAGGGGGGCUGUACAAGCUCUUGGCCAAGGUGUUGGCGAAUAGGCUGAAGAAGGUCCUAGGAAAGGUGGUUUCUGUGGACCAGAAUGCCUUUGUGAGGGGUAGACAGAUUUUGGAUGCCUCGCUCAUAGCUAAUGAGGUGAUCGACUUCUGGCAUAAGCGUAAGGAGAAAGGGUUGAUUUGCAAAUUGGACAUUGAAAAAGCCUACGAUAGCAUCAAUUGGAAUUUUCUCAUGAAGGUCUUGCACAAGAUGGGUUUUGGGUCUCGGUGGAUAGGGUGGAUUUGGUGGUGCAUUUCAACUGCCAAAUUUUUUAUCCUGGUCAAUGGGGUGCCGGCAGGCUUCUUCUCAAAUUCCAAGGGGCUGCAUCAAGGAGAUCUUCUAUCUCCUUACCUCUUUGUCCUGGGUAUGGAAGUGCUAAGUGCACUCAUAAGAAGGGCUGUUGUUAGGGGUUUCAUCUCAUGUUGCAACCUUCAGGGAAGAGGGAGGAUGGAGAUGGAUGUCUCUCAUCUACUCUUUGCUGAUGACACAAUCAUCUUUUGUGAAGCAAGGAAAGAGUAUCUAACCUCUUUAAGCUGGAUUUUGGCUUGGUUUGAGGCGGCUUUUGGGCUAAGAAUAAACCUAGCUAAAAGCGAAUUAAUUCCUAUUAGGGAGGUAGAAGAAAUUGAGGAAAUGGUAGUGGAGCUUGGGUGCAAAGUGGGGACUCUUCCUUCAGUUUAUCUGGGGCUGCCCCUUGGAGCCCACCACAAGGUCAUAUCUAUGUGGGAUGGGGUGGAAGAAAGAAUGAGGAGAAGAUUAGCCCUUUGGAAAAGACAAUAUAUUUCUAAGGGUGGGAGAAUUACCCUCAUCAAGAGCACUUUGGAAAGCAUUCCUAUUUAUCAAUUGUCCUUUUUUUGAAUGUCCCAAGAUAGUGGCAAGAAGGCUUGAAAAAUUACAAAUAGACUUUCUUUGGGGAGGGGCAAGAAUGGAAAGGAAAAUCCACUUAAUCAAUUGGGAGGUAAUGUGUACUCAAAAGAAGAAAGGAGGUCUAGGUAUAUGGAAGAUUGAUCUCCUUAACAAAGCCUUACUGGGCAAGUGGAUCUGGAGGUUUGCCUUUGAAAAGGAUAUCCUUUGGAAGAAAAUGAUCGAGGUGAAGUAUGGUUAAGAGGGCUUUUGGUUGGUGGACUAAUGAAGCUCGCGGGGCAUUUGGAGUGGGGGUGUGGAAGGAGAUUUUGAAGGAGGCAAAUUGGUCUUGGGAUAACAUGAUGUUUAAGGUGGGUAAGGGGACUAAGGUAAAAUUCUGGACUGAUCACUGGUGUGGUAACGCGGCGCUGUCCCGAAUUUUUCCUCAGUUAUUUGCUUCGGCGGUGCAUAGGAAUGCAACGGUUAAUGAGGUGUGGGACUCUAGCCUCGGUCAAGGGGGCUGGAAUCUCAGAUUUGCUAGAGAUUCAAAUGAUUGGGAGCUGGAUUUAAUAGGAGCUUUGUUUAAUAUGCUGAGGGACUUCAAGAUCUCCCAAGAAGAGGACUCGGUGUUAUGGAAAGGUGGGGGUCAAGGCACCUUUGGAGUCAGAGAUGCUUACAAUUUGCUGGUUGCUCCCAAUACCCUCGCCUUCCCGGUUAGAUGCAUUUGGGUGGACAGUCCCAACUAAAGCUGCCUUUUUUGCUUGGGAGGCUACGUGGGGGAAGAUCCUCACCUUGGAUAGGCUUAAAAAACGAGGGUGACAGUUUCCUAAUUGCUGUUUUUUGUGUGGUUGUGAAGAGGAAAAUAUAAAUCACAUUCUUUUACACUAUAUAGUGGUUAGGGUCCUCUGGGAAAUUGUCCUUGCCUUGUUUGGGGUUCAUUGGGUGUUCCUAGAGACAGUCAAAGAGGUGUUACUUAGUUGGAGGGAUCCUUUUGUAGGGAGAAAGAGGAAAAAAAUCUGGUAUUCCAUCCCGUUGUGUAUUUUUUGGACAGUAUGGAAGGAAAGAAAUAGAUUAGCUUUUAGGGGGGGUUCUUUUGAUAUACAGAAACUCAAAAAUUCUUUUGUUUGUAACUUGUGGAGUUGGGUUAGAGUGUACAUGGGAGAGGAGUCCUCUUCGCUUUUAGUCUUUUUGGAGUGGCUAGUGGCUACUUAAGGGCCGGUGAGGCUACUUGCUUCUCUUAUUUUUGGGUUAGGCUGCGUUGUAUACUCCCUGUAUGCUUUGUGGCUUUUUGCCCUUUAAUAUAAUUUGUGCUCACUUAUAAAAAAAAAAAGUUUCUUGGUCUUAGAAGAAGAAUUUCUUUGUUAGAAUUUAGAAACAUUAAGAAUUAUAUUACUUUUUAUGGGAAAAUAAAAUGAUUUUAUAAACAAAGGCCAAAGUAACAAUGACUUGUGCAAGGGGCACCAAAAGGUAUAGCCAAAAAAGAAAGAACACAAAAAACUACUCCCUCCUUUAGCGAGAACCCAACCAAUCUACAAAAUCAAUUAAAGGCAUUGAACCUUCUUCUAUCCAUAACUUAGCCCAUAAGAAAAGAUUACUAAGGAAAGCGCUUUUCAAUAUUUAGUCAAAUCGCUCCUUAUUUUCAAAUGAUCUUUGAUUCCUUUCCUUUUGUAUUGUUCAGAAAAUACACAAGGGAUAGUUCUCCAAACCUUCUUAUGCCUACAAAAGAGAAUACUAACCUAAAAGACUCUUUUUGACUGUGGAAGAUAGCACCUAAUUUGCACCAUAAAACCCUUGUAUUGGCAUAGUGAAGGCGGAUGUGAAAAAGCAUCUAUUUAUCGAUGACUACCCUUUGCUUUAAAGUUAAUCUAAAGUCAACUCCAAUCCCAAGUGGUCUUUCCAAGUAAAAAUAAAUAAAUAAAUAAUAAAAGAUAAAAUUUAAAAAAAACUUACUAUAGAUGGGACCUAGGAAUUCCAAACUAUACCCAUUGGAAAAGGAAUUGAACUUCCUAUCUUGAAGGUAUAAUAUAGAGAGUGGAUAAAAAAAAACAUUAAGAAUUUAUGUUGUGACUGUAUAAAGUUAUCAAGUAACGGAUAUAAAAAAUAUUUUAAAAUAUGAACAAUUAGAUAUAAUGUAAAUUAUAUCUUGCUUUCCUUUUAUAGUACAUUCUUUUUGAAAACAUAUAUGGAUGCCUCUUUGUAAGGUAUCUUUGAAUAGGCAUGAGUUCUUUUUUACUAAUCCAUUUGUCAUUGAAUUCCAUAUUUAAUGGACGAAUUUGAUCAUCUUUAUCACCCUUAUCUUGUCCUUUAAGGUGAUGUAAAUCCAAGUUGAUGUUGAACUUCACAUAAACUAGUGUAUUGAUUUCUUGUUGCUUGAGUCGGUUGUGUUUCUAAGAAUGCGUGUGAUAAGAUGUGUGCUAAGCUCUUUUCAACCAUUGUCAUGACUCUCCUAUCAUAUUGUGCUAUCAUAUGAUAUAUUCAAGUUCAAAUGACACAAUAGUGUAGAAUACAAAUUUGUAAUAUGCUUGUAUCGAAAAAGAGAGUUAGACUAACAAAAUUUUAGAUUUCAAAUCUAUCAGCAUGGUCAAUAGUUUGUAUAAGAUCAUAGCUAAAGUUUUAUCAGGGCAUGUCGAAAGUGUCAUUUAUGAAACCAUUCAUAUUUCCCAAGGAACUUUUCUUAUGAAACCAUUGCACAAGUUUUUUAGAAAUUUUCCAAACACAUUUGCUUUGUGGUGAGUGAUGAGGUAAGAGUCUAUUUAUAGGAGGAUUUAUGGUAGGGGGAUCGACAUUUAUAUUCAUAAUUUUCAAGUCUUUUUAAAGUUGUCAGUUGUCAUAGUUAGAAAUCUUUCUAUUCAUAUAUCCUUCGACAUCUCUUCCCAUUUUUCUUAGAACCUUAAUUUAUGUCAUAAUUUCACUUACUUGGAGAUAAAGAACCUUGAAAGACUCAUGUUCUCUUUCACUUGUGUGUACUUGUCUCCAUCCAUCUCAGAUGUGAGGGCUUGGUUGCUAUAUUCUUUUGGCUUACUUACGGUAGAGUCCUUCCUUUUAUUCUCUUUCAAUCUAUCAGAUUUAGUUGUUUUCUAUCCAACUAAAUUUUUGUAGAAAUCUAAAGUUCCAUCUAAGGUCAAGACUUUUGUUUGGCUAGUGGCACACAAGAAGGCAAACAACAAUUGAGAUCUUACAUAGCCCGUAGUGCUAACUAUUGCAUUUUGUGAAAUGACACAAACUAUAUAGACUAGCUAGUUAAUUGGGUUCCUCCUAGAUGACCAUCUCAUAUAGGGGCUUGAGAAGCAGUAGUGGAGGCAAGGUCCUUUGGCAAACUGCUUGUCUCAUAUUGAUUUGGAUUGUGUGGUGAGAAAGAAAUGCUAUGAUUUUUUAGGGCAAAUGGAGGAAUUCAGAGACAAUAUAGGAAUUCAUUUCUGUUUCUCUUUCUAGGCCUCUUGCACCAUAACAUUUAAGGAGGCACUCUUCUCAAUGCUGUUCAGCUUGACUAGUAUUUGGUGUGUAGAUCAAGAGGGUUUGGAUAGUAAGGAGAGGAGGAUUGAUUAGGUUUAUAUUGUAAGGAAAUGUUAACCCUCAUAGAGUGAUGAGAUGCUCUAUAUGUAUAUCCUCAUAUAAUAUUAUACUGAUGUAAAGGUCUCCUUAGUAUAUUGGAGGAGUUUACUUAUACAUUUUUUAUUAGGUUUUGUAAAUUUGGUGUGGAUUCAUCAGCUUUCUCAUAUACUUCUUGUCCAUUUUUAAUACAUAUAUUCUUUUUUAUUUGAAAAAAAAUUAAAAUGCAUGCAAUUUAUGAAUUCUUAGUUUAUAAGUUGUACCUUGUUGCUUCUUGUUUCUUGUGAUAGGGGUCAUACACUCAUAUAUAGGCCAAUGACACUGUCAACUUUUGGAAAUUUCUAUGCUUUUCAGAUCUAUCUUAUCCUCUCUUGAAUAGUUAAGCACAUUCUCUUAGCGGUCCUAUGCAACCCAAUUUUACUUUAAUAUCUUGGUUGAGAUUGAGAUCAUAAUGAAAUCUAACAUAAAAUAGAUCAAGUUCUUCAAAAAUUUAGCAAUUAUCCUAAUAUCGAAUUUGGGGCUGUUUAGAGCAAAGAAUUUUUAUAUACAUGGAAGAGGGGAAAAAUAAAAAUUAUCCUAAAAAACUUAAACACAAGAAAGAAGGCAUAGAGAAAGCCCCGGUUAUCUUUCUUUUUAUUUUUUAUUUUUAAACAAGUUGUAAUGUUGAAGAAUUUCUGAAUUCCUUUAUUGAUUUUUAGGUACACACCAUACACAUAUAUAUACACAAAUGACUGAAUAAGAAAAUAUCAAUCUAGCUUGAUUCUCUCCUAAAAUUAGGAAACUGAAUCAUCCUAAAUGAUCUCUCCUUUUUUAUUCCUAAAAUACUUUCCUAAAUUAAAACCCUAACUUUGAAUGCCAAAUUUCAACACUCCCCCUUAAGCUAGAGAAUAUAUAUCAUAUAAUCCCAGCUUGCAAGUUAAGUCUUCGAAGUUAGGCCUAGGUAAAGCUUUGGUGAGGAUGUCUGCGGUUUGGUGCUUGGUAGGAACAUAGUUCAAUUUAACCGUCUCACUAGUCACCUUCUUUGUGAUGAAGUGUCUGUCAAUCUCAACAUGCUUGGUCCUGUCAUGAUGCACGGGGUUCUUUGCUAUGCUUAUAGCUGCCUGAUUAUCACACAUCAUCAGAAUUGGAGAUGAACUCGUUUGUCCCAGUUCACUAAGAACCCUUUUUAUCCAAAUCCCUUCACAGAUUUCCUGUGCAAGAGCUCUGUACUCAGCUUCUGCACUACUUCUGGCUACAACUGAUUGCUUCUUACUCCUCCAGGUAACAAGAUUUCCCCAGACAAAAGAACAAUAUCCAGAAGUGGACCGCCUGUCAAUGAUGUUUCCUGCCCAAUCCACAUCUGAAUAUACUUCAGUGUCAUGGUUCUCUGUCUUUCUGAANNNNNNNNNNNNNNNNNNNNNNNNNNNNNNNNNNNNNNNNNNNNNNNNNNNNNNNNNNNNNNNNNNNNNNNNNNNNNNNNNNNNNNNNNNNNNNNNNNNNUCAGGAAGACUUGAAUUGGAGUCAAUAUAUGGGCCACAUGCUGACUGUGAUCCGUGCUCUAAUUCUGUCUUUCCUCCUCCUGAUGUAAACUUGUAAGUUCUCAUUAGCAAGUUGUGGGGCUAUAGGUUGAAUAGUCAUGGGAGACUGGAUGGUCAUGGGAGAAGGAACAUUUGUGUGCUGAGCUGGCUGGACCGAUGACGGCAUGGGUGUGGACAACUCAGUGGGCGCGAAUUGGGAAGGAUUUGGUGACUCUGAGUGAAAAGAAGGUACACCUUCAAGAAGAGACUCCCAAACUUGAUGUUCAUUCAUGCUCUCCCCCUGAACAUGAGAUUUGGGAUAGAAGAAGACAUGUUCAAAGAAAGAGACGUCCAUGGUGGUGUAAAAUCUUUUGUUGGUUGGAGAAUAGCAUUUGUACCCUUUUUGGGUUGGAGAAUACCCUAAGAAAAUGCACUUAUUUGCUUGAGGAGCAAAUUUGCUACGAUUUUGAGGAUACACAUGAACGAAUGCCGUGCAACCAAAUACUUUGGGUGGUAAAUCAGAAGAGGCUGCAUGGGUGUGAGGAAAUUGUUUUAAGAGAAGUUGACGUGGGGAUUGAAAGGUAAGAACUCUGGAUGGCAUACGGUUAAUCAAAUAGGUAGCUGUGAGAAUAGCUUCCCCCCAGAAAUAGUUUGGAACAUUAGAGGAAAACAUAAGGCACUGGGCAACCUCCAAGAGAUGUCUAUUCUUGCGUUCAGCCACCCCAUUUUGUUGUGGGGUGUCAACGCAAGAACUUAUGUGGAUAAUGUCGUGAUUUUGAAGAUAAGUACUGAGACUACUAGUAAAGUAUUCCUUUGCAUUAUCUGACUUGAGGACUUGAAUUUUGGAAUUGAAUUGAUUUUGAACCAUAAGAUUGAAGGUUUGAAAAAUGUGCCCGACCUCUGACUUUUCUUUUAUAAGGAAAACCCAUGUUACCUGUGUAUGAUCAUCAACGAAUGUCACAAACCAUCGAGUGCUAAAAAUAUUUUUUAUCCGGGAGGGACCCCACACAUCACUAUGUACUAGAGAGAAAACAGUCGAAGGUUUGUAUGGGAUUUGAGGAUAUACUGUUCGAGUAUGCUUUGCAAAUUGACAAAUUUCACAGUGAUAAGAUGCUGGAUUUUUAUUGAUAAAUAAUUUGGGAAACAAUUUUGCAAGGUAAACAAAGCUAGGAUGACCAAGGCGAUAGUGUAACAUUAUAAUCUCACUAUCUUUAUUGACCUUAGAAUUUGACACAGAAUUGAAAGACUCUAACAUACUCUGAGACUGUACACAACUUGCUUGAGAGACUUGGUUUGAGAAUUGGCCACAUGAGAGGAGGUAGAGCCCGGAACACAGUUCAGCACUGCCAAUCAUCUUCCCCGAUUUCAAGUCCUGAAAAACACACGAGUUUGGAUAGAAUUUAGUAACACAUUGGAGAUCACGGGCCAAUUUGCUAAUGGACAAAAGAUUACAAUCCAAGUUUGGAACAUGGAGGACAGAGUCAAGAUAUAAGUCUUUAGUAAGUUUUAUAGAACUUGUCCCGGCAAUUUUUGACUUUGAACCAUCAGCAAUAUGGACGGAUGAAUGACCAUUACUUGGCUUGUAAUUUUGAAGAAUGGCAGCAUCUCCUGUCAUGUGAUCAGAAGCACCUGUGUCCACUAUCCAUGGCUUCAUUCCUCCUCGAUUAGCAGUGAAGGCUACACCGGUAGUACUGCCACUGCCAACUUGGCUUAAUAGUUUCUGUAGCAUCUCCAUCUGCUCUUUGUUGAAUGGACUCGGCUCGGGAACAGAUGUGCUCUUAGAGUUGGUAGCCACGUGUGCUCUGCCAUCUCUGUCAACCCGUGGCUUUGGUUUCCAAUCAGCCGGUUUGCCAUGAAGCUUCUAACAAGUCUCCUUAUAAUGACCUGGUUUCUUACAAUAAUCACACCAAGGCCUAUCCCGUUUCUGACGAGCUCCACCACUAUUAUUAAAUGACCGAGCAACAAGGGCAGAGGCAUCCAAUGUUGGGGCAGGUUGCUCUUUGGAUCCCAUCAUCACUUUCUUUCUACUUUCUUCAUGCCUAACCUCUGAAAAAGCCUCCCUGAGACUUGGAAGGGGUUUAAUGCCCAUGAUUCGGCCUCUAACAUCAUCCAAUUCCCUGUUUAGUCCUAGGAAAAACUUGAACAGUCUCUUUUGUUCCACAAUUUUCCUGUAUGUUGCUGCAUCAUCAGAACAUUUCCAUGAGUGAGUCUCAAAUAAGUCAAGGUGCUGCCAAUACCUUGUGAGUGUGUUGUAAUACUGAGUAACUGUCUGCUCUCCUUGGCGGAAGUCAUGUAGGGCUGAUUCAACCUGAAAAAGUUCUGAAAUAUUUUCAGAACUUGAGUGAGUUUCUUUGGCUGCAUCCCAUAUGUCCUUUGCAGUCCCAAACAGCAAGAAAUUUUCACCUAUGUCAUUGUUCAUGGAAUUGAUAAGCCAUGACAUGAUCAUGCUGUUUUCAAUCUUCCACUUCCUGAAACCCGGUUCUGUAGUUUCUGGCAUGGUUGCUUCUCCAGUGAGGUACUCAUCCUUUCCUUUCCCGCAAAUGAACAGCAACACAGAUUGUGACCACUGUAAAUAGUUAUGGCCAUUUAAUUUGUGUCCUGUGAUGAGAAUAGGAGAGGAAUCACUACCACCAAGGUUUGGAAUUUCAGAUCUGCCCCCUGAUUCUGGUGACGUGACGCUGGAUACUUGUGAUGAUGCCAUUCCGUAUUUUGUCAUGGAAUGGAAAGGUAGAAGAACACUUCCCAAGGCACGUGCAGGGAUUGGAGUUGAGAAAAAAUAGCCGGAGGACGCCGGAAAAAUUGAUCGGAGGGCCCACGGAGGCAAAAGAACCCCAAAAGAGGCACGUGCAGGGCUCGAAUGGCAAAAACAGGUAAGAAGGGUGGCUGGUCGGCGUCAGGAGAGCCUGGAGGAGGAAGCGUGUCGCCGGAAAGUGGCUCACGCGCCCUCACGCGUCAGCGCGUGAGAUGCAGUCGCCGGCCGGAAAAACGCGCGUGGCUGGCAUGUGGAUGGUUUUCUGGCUCCGAUGGUUUGGGAAAAAUUGGAGAUCUCCUCCAGGCGCUCCUUGCAGUGUAGAAAAAACCAUCGCCGGAAAAUUUCGCCGGAAAAGUUGCCGGCGGUGAAUGUUUUCUGACGACGAUUCGACCGACCGGAAAACGUUUUCUCCCUUGGCUCUGAGAACAGGGACUGAUGAUCGGAAUGAGAGAUGGCCAGAGAGAGAGAUGGUCGGAUUGAGAGAUGGCCAGAGAGAUUUGGCCGGAAUGAAUGAUGGCCUGAAUAAGAGGUGGCCAGAAGGGAUUAGGGUUUCAGAAAACUGGCUCUGAUACCAUGAAGAAUUUCUGAAUUCCUUUAUUAAUUUUUAGGUACACACCAUACACAUAUAUAUACACAAAUGACUGAAUAAGAAAAUAUCAAUCUAGCUUGAUUCUCUCCUAAAAUUAAGAAACUGAAUCAUCCUAAAUGAUCUCUCCUUUUUUAUUCCUAAAAUACUUUCCUAAAUUAAAACCCUAACUUUGAAUGCCAAAUUUCAACAAAUGUCUUUAAGAAUUUUUAUAAAACUUAUUUUUAUUGAAAAUAAAAAUUAUCCACAUGCUUUGUGUAUUGUAUAUGUUUGAGUAUCUGCUAUACACUAUAGCUACAUAUUGCAUGUCAUAUGAAUUUUUAUGACUGGGGUCCACUUUAAUUUUUAGGAUCAGAUAAACUAGCAUUGAUCAUUGUUAGUUCCUCAAAAUGUUCCUAUUUUUUAUAUUUCUAGCUGUGUUUUUUGUGAGCUUACAAUCGUAUAAUUUUUCUGGCAGCCAGUUGGAUCCUAAGUUGGAAGAAAGAUGUUGACUCAGGUUCACGUUAGCAUGGAAUCAGCCAAGUGGAACUGUACAACACAGUUUAGAGGGGAGAAAAAACCUUUGCUUAGUUACCAUUUAUGGUUUGUCCAAAUUUAUCUUCAUGUGGAGAUGGUGGAUGAAAUUCUUAUUAUGGUUAAAGAAAUUCAAGUCAGAUGGAUCUCACCAUGGCUGCUUAUAUGAGUAAGUUUUGCUCCAGAGGUGUUUUACAGUAGGGUGAAUUCAUGACUACUGUUUAUUCACAAUGAUCAGAAAACUGACCUUAUUAUUAAUAUAUAGAUAGCUUGAGCAGUUAACUCCAAUUCUUUUCUGUACAAAAUUAAAAACUCUUACAGUCAGUUAGCACAUUUUACUUUGCAUGUUUCAUUCUUCAAGAUGUUUGCCUGUUUGUCUAAUAAACCAUCUAGGUCACAGUUAGAACAGUAGCUUUUACUACCAUCAUCAUGCUGCAGCAGAGGCCUUUUCAGGGGUAGCAGAAGAGGCCUCCACUCCUUUUCCGUUUCUUUUCAAAGUGAACAGUGAAAUGACUAUUGCGUCCUUUCAGGAUGACAGGAACCGAUUCUCCACUCUCUCUUUAGCGCAUGAAACAACCUCAGCUUCACCCUCCAGCCCAUUGCUCCCACUCCUUGGAAGCACUUGUGAUAGUCAUGGUGGGACGUCCCGCAACAGCUAGAUUGCAUAGCAAGACAGGCCCACCACCACCUGCAAAUGAUCCAGGUGUCUUUCUCCUGUCUGAUUUCACCAUAAAGCCCAUUGCAAGUGAUGGUGAAGAGUGGUAUCUUUGUCCACUACAACAGAACCACCACAGUAAUCCCCUAUCUUUUUGAACACCUGACACCAGAAAUGCAAUGGAAGCCACACCAUUCUCACCCACACUUCCUUAUCAUAUACCCCUUUCCAAAAACACCCCACCUCUAGAACCCACCUAUCCAAAUGCAGAACCCUGUCUUGUAGCCUCUUCAUACCUUUAAAAAGCACCGACUCUACAUCAAAAGUAUUAAAUCAAACAAAAGAAGAGCAACCCCUAACAAGGAAAUCCUCACUCCAUCUUUCAGAGACCUUUUUUGAGCGACCCACCUCCUCAAUUAGUUUAAAUCUUGAGCUGAAUAUGAGAACUCCCCCCACUUCCCAAGUAGGCAAUGCUUCAAAAGCUCCUUCCUAUGCUGCACCUCCUUCUCCCCUAGCUGAACUAAAACUGCUUCACCCAUCAUAUCGUAAGUUAGGGGUGGCAAAGUUUGGUAUGAUUCGCCAACAUGACUCAAACCUAAGACUUUUUCAUGAGUUUGAAUCGAGUAUAAUCAUGUUGGGUCAAAUUUGUGUCAUCCUAUAUAACCCAUUUAAUGAAUAGGUAGUUUUUGGGUCAACCUGCAUAACCCAAAUUUGACCUGAAUCGACUCAUUUAAUAAUCGUGCUAAUAAACCUACUUAUAAUUUUAUACUAUUUAACCCAUAUUUGACUCAUUUUGAAUUAGCUUUUGAAUAAAUAGGUCAAUUGAAUCAUAAAUAUAUUUGAUUAGGACAUUAAUUAUAUAGAUUUAUUCAAGAAGUAAGAGCUCAACCUGAUUAUUAAAUGAGUUAAAUGGGUUACACGACUGGUUACUUAUUUAAUAAUGAUGUUGUAUGUGAGUUUAUGUUUUUAGCUUGAUUAUUAUUCUUGCCGUGUUUAGGUUGACCUAUUUAGUAGAAUGCUUGGCUUUUACAUGACCCACCAGCACGAAUUGUCACCUCUACCAUGAACUUUCUUUACCAUGUCUACAAAAGACCAUUUCUCCGACAAAACUAAAUUGUUGCAUGCCUUCAUAGGCCUCUUGGCAACUGGGGGAAAGAGAAUCCUUGUCCUUGUAGAGGAUACCACACUAACUUUUUGAAGCUUCUUAGUAAGAAUGGGCCACCCCUUAGGAAGACCCUUACCUUCAGGGAAAUCAGGGUAUAUCUCUUAACUUCUACAAAGCUAAUAAAACAAAGAAUGAAUCUCUCUGCUCCAUUGGAACUGCGUACCAGCCUGAAAACCCUCCCUUCUUCAUCCUAAGCCUUGAAAGACUUCUUCCGAUCUUCAUCUCUACAACAAGCCUCCACUCCUCUCAACAAACAGGUCAACCUCAUCCCUCCAAACCUAUGUAGGAGGAAAAUCCUCUACCCCACUCCAGAAUUUUACCUUUCAGCCUCCUAUUAACAUCCUUAACUAAAAUUUCAAAAACCUUUGAUUCCACUACAAACCAACUCCUACCUUCUCUCCUUGGUUUGUCUUUACGUAUUUUUUAUUGUCCAAUUUGAGAUUUAAGAAGCCCACCUAACCAUGAAAUCCAUCUUACAUCUCCUAUUAUUGCAAAUUAUAUGACAACUUAACUAAUAAAAUUUUCUGAUAAAAAAAAACUUAACUUAUAAAAUUUAUAAUUUUAUACCUAUCAGAAAAAAAAUUAUUAUUUUACACAUUAUAUUGUCAAUAUGCUCAAACACACUCUAAUCACAUUCAAAACCCGAUGCACUACAAGUCAAGCUUAGAAUCUUUGUGGCUAGUUCUUGCAAAUUUGGGACUGUUUUUCCAUAUGGUUUUCACCAUUCAACUAUAAUAUUUCAAAUGUAAACAAAAAAUUAGUAUGCUAGCAAGUAACAUUUGAGUAAUAGUAGGCAAAACUAAGUCAUCUAAUGUCUAAUUUAGAAAUAUAAACUUUCGUAAAGUACUUUAUACUUGAAACUACUGUCUUUGUCAAUCUAAUGGCUAUUGGAAUACCGAAGAGGCCCUUCACAUUCUUAUAAGUUGUCAAUUCAUGAGUGAUCUUAUCUUGCAAAUUAAUGUUGGAAACUAAUCUAUUCAUGCAUGAUAUAAUCCCAAUGUCACUUCUUCAUCCUCCCACACAAGGGUUGUCGUAGAAAAAUUCCACGUUUAAGAAGUGACCUGUUGCAUGCAAAGGAUGGUGGAGUUGACAUUCCUAUCUUUUUUCAAUGAUAGAGAAGGUCUCUUUAUACUCCUAUUCCAUCUAUUGCUUCAUACAUGUACCCCAUAGUUGGUUUUCUUUCAUUGUCUGCAAAUCAAAGAACAUUAACAAGAAGACUCACCACCUUAAGGAUGUACACAAUGUGGUUCCAAAAUGAAGGCAUUAAAACAAUUUUUGACACAUGUUUUCCCUUUGCUUCCUUUGCCCAUUUACUAGCCAACCACUUGUAAAAAAGUGAACAUUAUUCUCAAAUUGCGCAUUUGCAUGUGGAUAUUUUGUAAGGUAAGAAAUCAUGUAGCAAAUUGAGUUACGUCUGGCCUAACCAAUUCCAUUUUCUUAGUGAACUCUUUCAUCAUAUUUAGCACACCCACAUGAUUAUACAUGAACCCAUUCAAUGGACCGCAUUAAGGAGAAGAAUAUUGUCCAAGUAAAAUUGAUGAUGGACCUAAUCAUGUGAUAGCGGGUAAGAUUUUUUUUUGUUUUUUUUUUUUUUAAUCAAGUUCUUUAGGUUUUAUUUGUGUCAUUUAAACAUUAUAUUAUAACUUAUUAUUUAUCAUUUUUUGGUUCAAAAUUUAAAUUGGGAAGUUCUUAGAAGCAAAAAACCACAUUUGACAUCUUGUACAACUUAUUGCGUAGAUCUCAUUUUAGAAGAUAGUGAGAAACUACAAUGAAGAGGACUUUGACAAGAGCCAUUUCAUUGAACGUGAAUUAAUUGAGUCAUGCGUAACUUGAUUUGGAAUAUGUUUUCUUACCCUACAAAGUUUCCACAUGCAAAAACACAAUUUGAGAUUGAUGUUCACUUCUAGCAAGUGGUUACCUAGUAAAUGCAAAGAUUUUAUUAAAGUGAGGUUCAAUGACUACUACUUCACAACCUGAUUUUGAAGAGGGGGGAGUGGGGGAAACAAUUUGGAGGAUAUUGAAGGGCAUGAUAAUGAGAUGGAGGGCUAUCAAUCUAAGUCUUGAUGGAAGUUUUGACAAUUUUAAUUUUAGUGAUGAUUAUGAUGAUGAUGCUAAACACUUCUCUAGGAUGUCUAUUCAAUAAUACAUGUAUACAUAUAUAUUUUUUGGGAUGUUUUGAAAAUUAGAAUAUGCAUUUGUACAAGAUGAAUUUCUCUAAACAAUAUGAUGUUUCUUAUGAUGUGGGGUAUAAUAUUUAAUACUUUGAAUAAUUAUUACUAUUUUGUUAAUUUUAUAAGACGCCAUAAGGGUUAUCCUUUGCUUCUGAACAAGAGUUGGAGGACUUUGCACAGAUGGUUGCUCUAUACUCGGGAUGUUCCUACCACCAAAAAAUCAUGGUUGCUUAACCUAUGAAGAAAAUGUUUUGGGUCUAAAGCUCGCCCAAAUGUAAUAUAGCACCUGAAGAAAGAAAAGGGAGAGGAUGAGUGAGGUUUCCAGGGGUGGUAGAAGUUAGUUUUCAGUGUAGGCUAAAUCAUUUGAGCUUUUGGUUGAGGUAGAGGGAGGAAAGUUGAGAGGUUGCAUUUGAGAGAGAUGCAGAGGGGUCACAUCGUGGAUCAAGUUUGGAGAUGCAAGCUUACGUUGUUUGUUGGGUGGAGUCAAGGACUGCUGCAGGGAGAGUGGGGAUAGGAAGGGGGCCCUUGCCUGGGAGGAGAGGGGAAGGAAAUAUAAGCUGGAACGAUGUUCAAAAGAGGCUGGAAGAUUCCUUCUCUGCUCUGUUCGAGCUUUAGAGUUGAAAAGAUUUUGCAUUAUUGUUCCAGAAGGGAAGGGACUGCGGGGGGGUUGGAACACUCUGGCGGAGAAAUUGAGAGGUCUUGGAGUGGAACCGUAUGGAGGGGCUAAGCCUCCAAUCACCCCAGAAGCUCAACAGAGGGAGAAGGGGUGGUCGCAGGGUCCUUUUUUGAGGCUGCAAAGUCAAAACCCAAAAGGACAGGUGAUUCAGUGUGGUUGGAAGUGGGGGCAAGAGAGACGCAGGGAAGGUUGGAACAGCUGAAUCGUUGCUUGGUGGGCUGGUGGGGUAAUUCCUUGGCUCCUGCUACAGAGCUAGAUUUCCUUAGGAGGUGGGUGAAUCUUCAAUGGUUACCAAAGGGGAGACUGAGAAUUUCAGCGUUAGGUAGAGGGCUGCUGCUGUUUGAGUUCGAGACAUUGUGGGAGGCUGAGUCCUUGCUCGAGGAAGAAGGAGGGUUCAGGAGAAUUUCUUGUGUUUGGAGAAGUGGAAUCUGCAAGUAGGGUGUUUUUGGAAGGAAUCUCAUGCUAAUGAGGCUUGGGUUAGGGUGGUGGGUCUCCCUCUUCAUCUGUGGAGCCGCGAGGUGUUCAAAAAAUUCGGAGAUGGCUGUGAAGGCUUUAUUUCAGAGGAUGAGGAUACAACUUGUAUGACUGAGCUGCAAUGGGCCAGAAUCUUGGUGAAGUUGGAUGGAAGAAGUUUGCUUAGUUCAGCCCAGGUUGCAGUGGGGUCAGGGUGUUUUUCUAUUCUCUUGUGGUGGGAAUUUCCACCAUGGUUUGUGCAGGUGGUGCUGUCUCUUGGGAUCCAUGUGAGUGGUACUACAGUGGCUAGGGAAGAGGACGAGGGAAAUUCACGCGCUACCUGCAGUGGAAGGUCAAAGGAAAGUUUGGUGCAGGUGGAGGCACAGUGUGGGGUACAGGACGUGUCACCUCCGGGUGAUCUUCUGAAGGAUGGUGCAGCUUUUGCUGCUGCUUGUUCUGCAAGGUUGCAGGCUGUGGGGACUAUGAAGGCUAGUGAGGAGGGGUGUUUAGGGGGCAAUGUUUUGACCGAGGGCAGUAAUGUAUCAAACCGAAGCUUUGUGGGUUUAUUGGGAAGUGGGUUGAUUGGUUUGGGAAGCAGGGUGGGUGGUGUGGGAAGUGGCUCAGGUGGGUUGGGUUGUUUGGAGGCCCAGCAGUUGUUCUCUGAACCAUCUCCAGUAUUAUCACAUUUCAAAACCUCUGCUUGGAGUUACUCUUUUUGUAG